UUUCUUUUUUUUUUCUUGGUGCUUAAUUACAAAUGAGUUAAAAUCAUUAAUUAAAAAUAAAAAAUAUAUUUUUUAAAAUAUUAAUUACAAAUAUUUAAUGGUUAUAUUUAAAUAUUUAAAAUAUAGUUUAUAUAUUCUAAUUAAAAUUUAUAAAUAAUUAAUAUUUAUUGCUUAAAAAUAUUUAAAAUUUAUAUUUCAUAUAUUAAAAUAUUAACAACAAGUUAUAAUAAUAUUUUUAUAUUCUUACUAAAAUAUAAUAAUAUUAACUAAUUUAAAUAUUAUUUAAAUGCAUGUUUGUUACUUGAUAAUAACAUGUCUAAAAUAGACAUUUUAUUUCUCAAAAAUACUUUUUGGCAGCAAUGCUAAACACUCAAAUUUUAAACCAAACUUUUCAAAAAUACUAACCCUUAAAAUAUCUAUUUAAUUCUAUAUAUAUUUGAAAUUCUUUUAUUUCAGAUUUGAUUUGAAUCAAAGAUAAAAAAAUCUAUUCGAUUAUUGAAUGAUAUAUAAUGCGAUACAGUCAAAACAAUGUAUUACACUAAAAAAAUACCUCAUUUAUAUAUUGAUCUCAUUUAUUUAUUUUAAAUAAAAUUUUAAAAAAUGAUGUGAUUUUUUAAUCUUGAGAGAUUACUCUAUAUAUGAAAUAAUCAUCCAAUAAGCUGUUUCGAAGUUUUCUUAAUAUUUUAGCCAUAUUUUAAAUAAUCAAUUUCAAUGAACAUCCCAAACCAUAUAUAUGUAAGCAAAUUUGAUCGACAAACUAAUGGAGGAAUGUCCUAAUUAAAACAAGCUUAGUUAUACGUAUCAACAAAUAAUUUCGUACGUGCGUAGGUCCUGAAGUCGCACGUGCUCGUUCCACUGAUUGGGAUCUAUAUUUAUCAGUGUAUGGGACACUAAGAUGAUAACGAUACAUUGUAGAGCUAAUUUACAGCCGCUAACAAAUAUGGAAAAGCCUCCUCUAAGAGAUUAUACCGCCACGAACGCCGCCAGUGCACCUCCGCUACUUAACACACUUACGCCUUCCCGCCGUACAAGCUCAAACCGUGCCUUUGCCGCAGUUUACACGUGUGCCAUCGUAGCCUUGUUCUACCGCCAUACACAAACACUCCUCAGCUCCAAAACCCUAGUUUCUUUCUACGUAACCCUUACGUUGUUCGUCUCCGACCUCAUCCUUGCCUUCAACUGGGCUAGCGGGCAAGCUUUCCGCAUGCGUCCGGUUUACCGUAAAGAAUUCCCCGAAAACCUCGAAAAGGUGGUGAAAACAAGUGAUUUACCGGGGCUGGACGUGUUCAUAUGUACGGCAGACCCGUACAAGGAGCCUCCAAUAAGUGUGGUGAACACGGCCUUAUCAGUGAUGGCGUACGAUUAUCCGACAGAGAAGAUAUCGGUGUACGUAUCGGACGAUGGAGGAUCGGCUUUCACUCUCUUUGCUUUCAUGGAAGCUGCUAGGUUUGCUGCCCACUGGUUACCAUUUUGUAGGAAGAACGACAUAGCGAAAAGGAACCCCGAUGAAUAUUUUGCGACCGAUUAUAAGAUGAGUUCUGAAACUGAAGAUAUUAAGGUAAUCCCCAUUCUUAAAUUAUCUAACUAACUUAACUUAUAGUUACUGCUAUGAUUAGAAUCCACGUCCUUUGUCAAAAAUAUAUAUUUUUACUAGUCCAAAAAAUAAAAAUCUGAGUGGAGAUUGCUUGAAUAGGAAAAACAUAGUAGUGUUUUCUCCCCGGCAAGCCAAUGAAACCAAAUCCAUCAAUAAAGGAGGCAAAGGCCAAUAAUUCCACGCUUUAGCUGCAAAAGUUGGGAGAAGCCAAUAAGUACGAAAAGGUUGUGGGUCACGUUGUUCUAAUUGUCCAGUGUGAUUUUAGGUACGAUGCAAAUAGUACAAGAGUUCAAAUUAUGUUCUGCAUUGAUUGUUAUCAAUUCAUGUUCAUUUAUAAAUUUGUAAGUCCACUAGCCAUAAACAGCAAAGAGGUCUAGAGAAGGCUAAAAACAAACCAUCACGGGUCAGUCUCCCAAGUUGCCAAAGAGCACACCAAUUAGAAGUCUACCUGUAGCAAGGGAAGAAGUCGACCCUACCUAUCGGCUAUCACCCGACAAAAUCGAUCCCUUUCCUUCACCAAUUUUCCAUCAUUUAAUGGUCAGAAUUUCCUUCAGAUUGACAGAAUCAACAAACAAAGAAGUGAAAAGCUUCAUGAGUUUUAACCAGACCUUUUGGGAAAUUAAAAGAACCAUGAAAAUCUUUUAUUAAAAAUUAUAUUAUAUUUUUUCUAUUCAAUAAAUAGAUAAAUUAAUUCGUGAGAUAAAAAAGUAAAUUGAUUUUUCUGUUAAAUUUUUUUUAUCUAUUUAUACGGUUAAAAAUUAAUCAUUAUGUGUUAGCAUAAAGUAUACAUGGUACGUUAUAUGUUACUGUCAAUUAUUAUGUCAGACACGUUAGUUUUUAAUUAAUACAAAAUAAUAAAAUUUUAAAAAAAAUCAAUUUACUUAAUUUAUUAAUUAUUUUAAUAUUAGUCUCCCCAACAAGUGUACUUGGUUAAUUACUUUACCCUCAGUUUAAUAAUUAAUGAUGAAAGUUCCCUCAUAAUCCCAUUCUCUUUUUUAAUAAUAUAUUAUCAUCAGUUGCAACACAGAAUUAGAAUAUGGUUUAAAAAUAAUAUCUUCAAACCCUAUGUAAUAAGAAUGUUCAUUAUUCUAGUUUGAAUUAAGCUAAAUUUAGAUUUUAUAAUAUUACUGUAAGUAAAAAAAAAAGUUAUGGAUGUAGGGCAUGCAGCUGUCCAAUAUUAAAUACGGACAUCUUGAACCGAACAAAGUUGAUCUCUUUAGGCCCUGUACUCUUUCGAAAGGAUGCAAAAGCUAAUAUUUUUUGCCACGCGGUUCGAUACUAGAAAUCAACCUUAUCCCGAUUCAAUUCCACUGACCUCACACAGUCUGAGCAUUGGAUAUAUUAGAGGAUAAAUCAUUCACCGUAAAUGCUCGAAUAUUUGUCGAAAUUAAGUCUAAUAAAGACAAAUAUGGAUAUUGAUGUCAGAAUUACUGAUCAAUAUGUUGCAAGUCUUCUGUUGCUGACCUUAAUUUAUACCAAUGGAAAAUGUCCACGUACUCACACUUUGCUAAGCCGCAAACCACCUAAUUUAGAAAGAAGCAUUAUAUGAAACAAAAAUAUUUUUUUUUCUAACCCAUUAAUUCGUGAAAUAUUUAUUUAUUUUUCAAUUUUGCAGAUAAUGUACGAAAGCAUGAAAAUGAGAGUCGAACACGUCGUUGAAACAGGAAAAAUUAGUGAGGAAUACAACACCAGCGAUGAAGUCCGUCAGGUUUUCAGUCAAUGGAGUAUUGAUGGAUUUACCCGUCAAAAUCACCCCACAGUGAUCCAGGUUCUCUUUUUACCUCGAAAUUAAUCACCGAUGAACAGCCGAUCAUACUGUUAUAACCUUGCAAUACUGGUACAUGAUCAGGUUUUAUUGGACCAAAAUAAAGACAAAGACAUCACAGGCAAUUGCUUGCCCAACCUGGUUUAUGUCUCUAGGCAAAAAAGCAAGACAUCCCCUCAUCAUUUCAAAGCCGGUGCACUUAAUGUCCUGGUAUAUAUAUAUAUUAUGCUCUCACUGAAUGAUUAUUAAUUCAAUUACGAUUAAUUAUGUUUUAUCUUGUUCUUUUAUUUUUAAAGGUCCGAGUUUCUGCUGCCAUGACCAAUGCACCUGUUAUUUUAACCUUAGACUGUGACAUGUACUCCAAUGAUCCCACAACACCUCUCCGAGCUCUGUGUUAUAUUUUAGACCCUGAAAUGCAAAGCAAUUUGGGUUACGUUCAGUUUCCUCAAGAGUACCAUGGGCUCAACAAGAGUGACAUUUAUGCUUGUGAGCAUAAACGUUUGUUUAAAGUUCAUCCCGUCGGCUAUGACGGAUUAUGCGGCCCUAAUUAUGUAGGAACUGGCUGCUUUUUUCGCCGGCGAGCUUUGUGCGGCGGCCCUUCAACUUUGAUUUUACCGGAAAUCGAUGGUUUAUGUCCUGAUUCUGUCGUGAACAAGCCCUUAACUGCCCCAUCGGUUCUUGAAUUAGCACACCAUGUUGCUGGAUGCAAUUAUGAAAACCAGACCAAAUGGGGGUCUAAGGUAACUGAAUAAAUUCAACUAAUCUAUAAUUUUCAACAGUCCUGUCCUAAAAAAAUAUGAUGUUCUGUUUGCAGAUUGGGUUCAGAUAUGGAUCACUUGUGGAGGACUAUUACACAGGCUAUCGUAUGAAAUGUGAAGGAUGGAGGUCCAUAUUCUGCUACCCCGAAACGGCAGCCUUUUUAGGAGAUGUACCCUUCAACCUUCUUGAUGUUCUCAGCCAAAACAAGAGAUGGGCAAUUGGACUCCUGGAAGUGGCGUUUUCAAGAUAUAGUACCAUAACAUUUGGUGUCAAAUCCAUGGGGUUGUUCAUGGGUUUAGGUUAUUCAUACUAUGCAUUUUGGGCCAUUUUGACAAUCCCAAUCACUACGUAUUGCUUACUUCCUCAGCUUGCUCUCCUUAAUGAACUCAGCAUCUUCCCAAAGGUCUCAGACCCAUGGUUUCUCCUUUACAUGUUCCUUUUCCUCGGAGCAUAUGGGCAAGACCUGCUGGAGUUUGUGGUCGAUGGGGGUACAAUACAAAGAUGGUGGAGUGACCAAAGAAUGUGGAUUAUGAGAGGGCUUUCAUGUCACGCCUUCGGAUUGACCGAGUUCGUGGUCAAGUCCAUCGGCAUUCCCGCCGAGGGUUUCAACGUGACCAGUAAGAUCAUCAAUGAUGAGGAAAGCAAAAGGUACGAGCAAGGGGUGUUUGAGUUUGGGGUACCGUCGCCCUUGUUUGUAACACUAACAAUGGCAGCAAUAAUCAACCUGUUAUCGUUAAUUAUCGGACUGGUACAUUUUAUCGUCGAUGGCGGUAGCAAUAAGGAAGGGCUUGUUAUGCAGUUGGUGUUGACAGGGUUGAUUGUGAUGAAUUGCUUGCCGGUUUAUCAAGCCAUAGCGUUGAGGAGUGAUAAAGGGAAAAUGCCUACUAAAACUACCGUUACGGCCACGUUACUAGCAUCGGCUGUUUAUGUAGUGGCUUCUCUGUUUCUCAAGUGAUUAUGCUAUAGUUGUUGUAUUUUAAAAAUCUUACUGUUUUAAUUUAAAAACGUUAAUCAAAUUAUUAUGAUUAUUGCGAGUUUCAGUUAAAAUUUAUCAACUUAAUAUAUUUAUUUUCUAUCAAUCAUAUAUCACGUUAUUAUUGCAUUGAGAUUUUUAAAUGAAAACAAUUGGAUGACUUUAUUUUUUAAAAUUUUAUCAAAUUAUUGGGCUAAACCUAUUUUAACAGAUUCAAACCUUAAAUUUUUUAUUUAAAAUCCAACGCUUUGUUUUAUUUUUAAAGAAAAUAUAUUUCCAUAAUUAAAUAUUAAAAACAAUUUUAUAUGUAUGAUAAAUACAUAUAUACUAAUUGUCCAUAAUCUUUCACUUCGAUUAUCAUUCAUAAUAUACUUUAUAUUAAAAUAUUUAUGGCGAUGACUAAUUGUAUUGGACUGAUAAAGAUAUGAACUCUUGGCUGUUAGCAUAUGAUUUGAUGGAUAUAAAAAGGGAUCCAUGUGCCUUGAUCUGUAUUAUUAAGUUAAACCAUGUUUAGUUAAUAUCGUAUUAAGUUACAUCCUUGAUCAAAUAAAGCGAAUAUGCAAUGUACUUGGCAGUCCAUAUUCAGACAAAGAAGCAGUCAAGCACCCAAUAAUCGUGUUACUUAGUGGGCAAUAAUUAAAAAUAAAGUUGCAUCCAAAGAAACCUCCAAUAAAUUAUGUAAUAAGAGAUUCGUAUAUAAUUAUACCUUUUCUCCAUUGGGUAAUAGAUAUUUACUAUUUUCAUGCACAUAUACAUUUUCAAAGGUAAAUUGAUACACGUAAUAAGAUGAAUGUGAUCACAUUUAGAACUUAAUUUCAAAGCUCUUUUUUUUUCUUCCAUUAACUUGGUUUAUUUUUAUGGCUUUCUUGACGGACAAGUUAGACGAUGUUAAUGGUUGUAUUGUUUUGGCUUGUAACGUGGCAUAUAGUUCAUCAUAUUUGAUUAAUUUUGGCUUUCGACAGCAAGUACCUAAUUAUGGGGAUGCUAAUCUAGAUGCAGAUGAUGUAUGCUUGGACUCGAUCAUGUCAGAUCAUAUAAUAUCAAAAUGCAAAUAUGACAAGUUUAAUAAGCCUAAAAAACAUUAUAACAAAAAUGGCAGAGAAUGUUAAAUUCAUAUAUUUUACUUAUAGUUUAAAUUUUGUUUGGCCCGUCGGCUUGCUUGGAGAUGGCUCGUCUUAAUAUUCUCCCUUGACCUUGGAACCCUUUCGGUGGGUCUUAACUUGGGCCUAGGCUAUUCUAAACUACGGAUUCCUGGCCCCUUUUCGCCAUUUUGUGACCAACAGUGGUCAAAUAUUAUAAACGAGAUUUCCAAAGGGAUUCUUGAAUUUGGAGCAUCAUCCCCAUUGCAACAAUGGCAGCAUUAGUCAACUUAUUCUCAUUCAUCCGGGGGGCGGGGGACAAUUUUAGUUUUAAGUGGCAGCAGCUUGGAAGGCAUAUGUUGGCAGAAAUUAUUAGAAGGGUGCUUUAUUGUAAAUUGCUUCCAAAUUAAUGAAGCGAUUGCGUUGAGCAGUCACAAAGGGAACAUGGCUUCCCAAAUAUCACUGCAACAUUUCUAGCUGUUGAUACAAAACAUGAGGUCCGCCUACACGAAAAGGCAUUAGUGGUGGUUCUGGAGAGAUUUGGAGAAAAUGUUUAAGUUCUGAGAUGAUUUUGACAGAGCAUUAUCGUGUAAACGCGUGUGCUAAGAUGCAAUAGGAGAAGCUUCCAAGUGAAUCUAAUGUGACUCUGUGAUAAGUCCGUGUGAUAUAUGCGAGGUGCUUCUUAUGAGCAAGACAUCUCUUCUGCCCUUAGUUAGGCGAGGCGGAGGCUCUUCCUUGAUCCAGAUGGGAGAUGGUUGAGUUGGCGAAGUGGUUGUAAACUCUUUACAUCGCAUCCUUGCUUCUCUUUUCAGUAUCAUACUCUCUGCAGCUUUUAUUUUCCCUGGUCUAGUGUUCUAUGGGAAUUGUUGGACAGUAAUGUGUUAUAUAUUUUCUAGGGAAUUGGCAUUUUCAGAUAUUAUGUGAAGGGCAAACACAAUGCAUGCCAUGGUUCACUAAACACUAAGAGCAUGUUUGGUUGGGGGAAUAGGAAUGCAUUCCCCCCAAAUCGGUGGGCCCACCAUCAAACCAACCUUUGGUUGGCUGUAAUUGUAAUACAGCCUUAUUCCAUUCAACCUCUAUUACGUGAGAAGCUGUAAUAGCCAUUCUUUGCCUUCAGCACUGAAUAGCUAUUACGUUCCGCUCUUUUUUUUCCAUUUUCCAAAUUUUGCCCUCCUUCAUCUUCUCCUUCAUCUGCGUCAAACUCUCUACACAAUUUCUACCCUCAAACUCUCUUGCCAUAUUUCAGAUAUUCUCCUUCAUCUUUUCCUAUAGAUCUGUAACUUUCUCUCCUUCUGUUCCCAUAUUUCAGGUAAUUUUUAAUUCAGAUUCAGAUUUCUUGCCCAUCAAAUAAAAAUCCACCCGAAUCACUUUCCACUUUCCAUAACCAAACUCAAAAUCAUCCAAAAUCAAAAAAAUUCAAACAUAGAAAAGCAGAGAACUGAGAAAUGGCGAUCGGAAGAGAAGAUGUGGAGAUUUUAAAGCCCAGAAUUGACAAAAGAGAGUAUCGGAGGAUCGUCCUUAGAAAUUCCCUUCAAGUUCUUCUUAUCAGCGAUCUCGAUACCGACAAGGCAAAUUACUUUUUCAAUUCCUUCUUCACUUUCAUUUCAUUAGCAAUUCCAUUACUAUUAUUGACCUUUCUUUUUUUCCUAAUUUCUUUGUUUUUUGAUGUUACAGUGUGCUGCUUCUAUGAAUGUGGGUGUCGGUUCCUUUUGUGACCCUGACGGCCUCGAAGGCCUUGCCCAUUUUUUUGGUAUUGCUUAUCUUUUUCAUCCGUUUAUUUUAUCUUCCAUUUGUAUUUGUGAACUGUCUGGAAAUUUUUUAUUCCUUUUUUACUUUAAAUUUUAACAGUAUGUGACUUUAGUAAUUUUGUUCCUCAUAGUGUUAUUGAUACAAAUCUUUUAAACUAUAAAAGCAUCAAUAUUAUUUUUGAAGCAUAAAUAAAAGGGGUGAUUACAAAUUCUUGGUAUCUUUUUUUGCCAAAAUAUUUCAAUAAUACUAUAAUCACAGAAAUACAUAUAAUAGAUAAGAAAUCUUAAUCUUAAACCAAUUGAACAUCAAAUUUGAAAGGAUUCCUGUAAAAUGUAUGUGAUCUAAUAACUAAUUAUUGUUAGCUAACUUUGAAUAAAAUUAACUUCAAAAUUUUUGAAGAGAUGCCAUAAAACAAGAGGCUUAUAGUGAAGUAAAAUUAUUUGUAUGACCCGGCUCGACAGCCCGCCCGAAAUAUGGGAGGGUUUGGGUAAAAAUAUAGGCUCGAAAUAUGGGCUUAGGCAAAAAAACGAGGCCCGUUUAGAAAAUGGGCCGGCCCGGCCCGAUAUAAUAAAUAUAUUUAUUUUUUAAAUUUUAAAAUAUUUCUAAAAUAAAUUUUUUUAUUUUUAAAUUUUAAAAUACUUUUUAAUUUUUUUUAAUUUUAAAAUAUUUUUAAAAUACUUUUUAAUUUUUAAAAUAAAUUUUUGGUAUUUAUUAAAAAAAUAGGCCGGGCCGGGCCUGUGCUUAUAUUUUCCAGGGCCGGGCCUAGGACCCAGACCAAAAUAUUUUUAUGGGCCCGGCCCGGCCCAUGAGCACCUCUAUUUCAGAUAGUAUUCCUUUGAUUUUAUUACGUAGUUCUUUUUUCCUGAUUUACAGCGUGGAGGCAGCACAAACGCUUUCACAGCUUCUGAGAUGACCAACUAUUUUUUUGAUGUCAACACUGGUUGCUUUGAAGAGGCUUUGGACCGGUAGAUGUUGUUUGUGCAGUCUUUCUUUAGCUCUCAUUUUCAUCAAUGUUCAUUUAAUGUAUGUGAGAUUGGGUGUUUUCCUGUCACUUGCUCUCUAGGUUCGCACAGUUCUUCAUCAAACCAUUGAUGUCAGCUGAUGCUACCAUGAGGGAAAUUAAAGCUGUCGAUUUUGGUUAGCUUUUGGUUCUUGGUUUACUUUACACAUGGAUUUCCUCUAUUUUAAUCUAUAAUUAAUCAACACUAUUCUCUCUCUUUCUAGAGAACCAGAAAAAUCAACACUAUUCUCUCUCUAUUUUAAUCUAUAAUUAAUCAACACUAUCCUCUAUAAUGAAUCACCCUUUGUCUUCUGGAAGAUUGCAAGAUCUCAACUCUGACUAUUUAAAAAUGUUAAUCAAUUUUUUCUGGAAGAAAUGGAACCUGGAAUUGAUCCCUAUUCCUCAAUUGCAACUUUAAUAUUGUUUGUGAGUCCUCUCCCAUCAAUGCUUUUUAUGGUGUUAAUUCUUAUCACUUUUUCUUUAAUGAUCAAAACCAAAGCCCAAAAACUAUUGUCUUAGGAACAUCUUGUAAUGUUUUCCAUAAAUCACUGUUGAAAAUUCCAUAUCUGUAUGUGCUUGUCAAGUUUAGAUUCUCAUUUAAUACUAAUUUGGUGUUUGGCUGGAAUUCACAGAGAAACAAGUCACUUACUAACAUGAUUGAUUCCUCAAAGUGGUGAACUGAGCUUAUGUUUGGAAGUGUUCUUUCAUCCUCUGAUAUUGAUAGAUGAGGAUGAUUGGAUAUACCCUGUCAUUAAGGGCUAUUCAUCAAUUGUUUCCUCUUGUCCUGUUAAGGGUUUAUGGUGUGCAUGGUUAUUGUGGUUUCAUUGCUAUUUUGAGAGAGAGAGACUUGUGAUUAUUAAGCACACUGGGUUGCAGUUCAUAUUUGAACAAUUGUUUGUGAGUUUGAAUGCAAUCUAAUCAUCUCAAGUGGUUGAUUUAUGCUAUUAAAAUUAAUUAAGAAUUGAUGAUUGUUGGAAAAAUUAGCAAACUUUUAGAAACUUCCCAAUCUUUGUCUGUCUUGAAAAUAAAUGAGAAUGUGUUUCUUGCUUUUAGUUGAGUAGAAGAAAAUUUUGAUGGAUUAUGGGUAUUGGUGGUGAUCAAAUUGAUUCAGAACUUUUAUUUUGUACUAGUUUGCACUUACUACCUAAUCCAUCUCAUUUGAGUUCAUGUUAAUAUUCUUCAAUGGUGAACCUUUUAGAUGUAUUCCUAUCUGGUUUUAAUUUUUCCUUCUAUGCAGCUUCAGAAACAUCUAAGCUUGAAAAGUCAUCCAUAUCAUAAAUUCAGCACAGGUUAAAAACCUUUCCUAGUUGAUCUUCCUUCCUUCUCUCCGCUCUUCUGUUAAGUUGAAUUCUUGCCUAAGCAGGUUAUAAGGCAUACUUUCUGCUUUAUAUUCAAUCAAUUAACCUAGUGAUAUUGGAUAUUGGGUAUAUAUUUCCUUUUGCAAAUAUGCAUGUUAUGAUUUUCAGGGACAAAGUUCUUUGUAGUUUGUGAACCUGGGACACAGCACAUGGAGGCUCUCUUGAAAGUUGUUUAUGAGCUCUACGCAGAUUAUGUUUUGAAGAACCCCUUCUAUGAGAUGGAGAUGCCCAUACGAUUCGAACUCUUUGACAUCAACCUGACACAGGCAAUACAGAAGGAUCGUGUUGCGCUUUUGGGGCGAUAAGCUGUCCUGGAACCUUUAUCUUACCAAAAUGUCACCAUCUCUUAUCUUCAUCCGUACACUUUUGAUGGAAGAUUGCUAUCAAGUUUGUAUACCUGUGUAUUGGGAUAUCAUCAAGCUCCUUUGUUUAGCUCAUAAGUGCUGAAUUAUUUAUAACAUAUGAUGAUUUCUGGAGUUGCUUCUCCCAAUUAACAUUUAUAAAAUUAAUGAAAAAAUCCUUUGAAUUAUUUGUUUGCUAUUGUUUUUCAAUCUUUAUCUAGGAAGAAGUUACAGCAGGGGAUAUCUUAUGAAUGAAACCUUCAUAGUGAAUCAUUUGCAUUCAUUCAAAAAUUAAAUUAUAUAUAUUAUGAUUUUAGUAUUAUAUAUUAUGAUUUUAGUAAAUUCAUAUAAGAAUAUUUAAUAUUAAGAAUUUUAUUAAAUUAUAUAUUUUUAUCUAAUUAUAUUUAAUAAUAAUUUUAAAUUAUAUUUUGUAGUAUUAUAUAUUAUGAUUUUGUAAAUUCAUAUAAGAAUAUUUAAUAUUAAGAAUUUUAUUAAAUUAUAUAUUUUUAUUAAAGUAUAUUUAAUAAUUAUUAUUUUAAAUUAUAUUUUAUAUUAUUAUAUAUUAUGAUUUUAGGUAAAUUCAUAUAAGAAUAUUUAAUAUUAAGAAUUUUAUUAAAUUAUAUAGUUUUAUUAAAUUAUAUUUCAUAAUAAUAACUUUAAAUUAUAUUUAUAGUAUUAUAUAUUAUGAUUCAUAUAAGAAUAUUUAAUAUUAAGAAUUUUAUAAAUUAUAUAUUUUAAUUAAAAUAUAUUAAUAAUAAUUAUGUUUAAAAUAUGAUUAAAUUAUUUAUUAUUGAUAUUAAUAAUAUUAUUAAAAUUUAAUAACAAUAACAAUAAUCAUUUACCUAAACCAAUUUCUUGCUAAGGGUAUUCUAGUCAUUUUAGUUUUUUCCCUUAUGCUAUUACACCUCCAUUCCAUUCAACUAAACACAAGAAUACUAUUACGCCUCUAUUCCAUUACAUUCAAACAAUUGAAUUGCUAUUACGUCUCUAUUACAUUACGCCUCUAUUCUAAUACAGCGAACCAAACGUGGUGUAAAUAACAACUUUCAAGAAUCUUUCUCUGUUAAUAUAAAAAAACACACUUCUUCUCGGGAAAAAGUUCAACCAUCAAUAGAACUUUCUUUGAGCUCUCGUAUAAUCGCAAUAUAGAUGCAUUGUAUGAGCCAUUGAUUACACACAACUCCUCAACUUUGCAAUAUGACCAGUGCACCACGGAUUAGUAUUUGGUAUGAAAUAGCAAUAUCUGAGCCAAAAAUGCUAGCAUUUCCUAGACUCGCUUGAAGUUCAUCAAUCAUUUCAAACAUACAAGCAAGUUGGUUGGGAAUAACACCAAGUAUUCAAGCACCUCAAAUAGCCAAUCUAUCAAUAUGCCCUCCAAUGAGUUUUGAAAUUCCAUUUCACCUCAGUGCAGCAAUUGCAAAUAUACUUUCUAUAGUCAAAUGGUCCAUAAAAUUUUACAAAAAGGAAACAAACUCCAGAACUCAAGAAACAAAAAGGAUCCAUAAAGAGAAUUUAAAUCACAAAGUUGAAAGAACUAUUUCUUUCCUAAUCAAAUUCAUCUCAAGAUACAGACAUGUAGGUACAUACCAAUCUAAUUAUACUUCCUCUUCCUUAUCUUGAAGCUGGUUGAGCGGAUAACAUCAUCGUCUGUAUUCAAGGCCGCUUCGAGAGCCGUCAUCGACUCAGGUUUUGUAAAGUAGGUAAAGAGGAGGUAAAUGCCAUCCAAGUAUGUGUUGGUUUCCCCAGCUUUAUUUUUCUUCUUGAUGCUGUAAGCUAAUGGGAUGACCCCUCUAUUAAAUACCUCAAUAUACAUGCCACCACCGGCGACAAGAAGCUGCAAAAUGGUCACCGUAAGGAAAAGCAUAAGAAAAAUUCUACAACAACAUGUCACUAAUCCUUUUUCCCUUCUAAAUAUUGUGGAAUUCUUAAGUCUAUUUUAUUAAAUGCCACAUUUUCAGAACCAAUCUCCGAUAGAUAAAAUUAAAUCAAAAGCCAUAAACUUUGCAAAAAUGUAAUCACAUUCCAUACAAUUCUCAACUAUAUUGUCUUAGCAACCAACUGAGAUGGUAAUUUACAGAACAUUACCUCCUCGUACUUCUGGGUAAGAGCAAGCCUUUCAUCUUCAGACAUGUCGGGUCUCAAGACGGCCAUUGUCUCGUACUGUCGGAGGCCCGGUGGGCAUUGGGGUUCCUCUUUAUCCUCCAAGGCGGUUAUGCCAGAGCCGGGUUGGGAAGGCGGGUCAUCAUCGGAGCCGAAACCACCCUCAAAGAAUGAGCCGGAGAAGUCCAAGGUCUGGGCUUUGACGGUUAAGGUUGAGGGGUGGUUGUCUCUUUUGAGGGAAAUCAGAGACUUGAGCUUUGGCAGGAUAGGUUUGAGGCUGUGAGUGAAGGAGAGGACGGGUAGAGGAGAGAAUUGGGGGAGAAGAUGGGGGCAAAACGGGGAAUUGGUUAGAGCAGAAGUUGGAGAUGCCAUUUUGGCUAUUGUGUUUAUGUGAGCUCCGCUGAGGUUCAGCUAAUAGUGAAAGAAAGAACAAGGAAACGGAUAAGGAAAGUUGGCUCAUGGGGGAGGGGCCAGUGCACGCUUUACGCUGUAUUUUUUGGUUGGGCCUGUGCCUAUUCAAUGGGCUAUUCCCAACCUUUUGUUAUCCAUUGGAUUCUUUUUAUGUAUAUUAAAUAACUUGAUAUUACCAACUUUUUGUUUCCGUCAGUUCCAAAUUAAUUGCCACAAAUGAAAAAUGAAGGAGAUGAUCUCGUUGAUGUCUCACCUAAUCGAGUGCUGAAUGGCUACAUAUACUUAGACCAUACAUGAUUUAUAAUCUCAUUUGAUCAAUUUAGGAGAUAAUUUUAUUGAUAUCUCAUUUUAUCACACGACUACAAACAUAUAUAUUAUACAUGACCUACACAUAUGAAGAUCUUGUUUAGUCAAUCUUAAAUAUGACCUUGCCAUUGACGACAUAUCAUCUUACCAAAUGUUGCAUGGGUAAGACACUUGAUCUUUACGUGCCACAAACUUAUCACAUGAGAUUUGGGGAUAUAUAACACUUCUAUCAUGAUUCCAAGUAGAGUUCUCAACACAAAAGAUGAUUAAGAGAAAAAGAGAGCUCCUCUCCUCCUUCUUUGAGAAGAUCAUUUAUGACUCUCAAUUUCCGAACAAAUCAUUAACUCAUAUUUAUACAUUAAAACAAUAAAAAAAGUAUAUAUUUUUCAAUUCAUCCUCACAUCAUGAUUUUCACCAUCUUCUCCUUGUUGUUUAAUCACCAAUCAUUGACUUCCAUCACAAAGGGGGAAAGGAAAAUCUGUCCUUGACCACCCAUAAAUUAAAGUGCCUAUACAUAUAAUAUUCGUUUUUCAAAAAUAUUGUGACCCUUGUCAUAUAAAAAGCAAUGUGAUAUUAAUAAUGGGAUGUCUAAGAAAAUAAAGGGAAAAAAUAAGUUUAUAAAAUUAUCAAUAACUCCAACCGUCCGAUAAUGAGUUUUCAAUCAGCAUUGAAUGGCACCAUCACGGCCCGACUGCCUUGGUUCAGAACAGGUCAAGCCGGCAAAGCCCAUUUCCUUCACCGCCUUUUAUGUUCGUUGUUCCCACUACUUUCCGGCAAUUCCUCAGCCAAGAUAAUUAAACAGUUAAGCCCCUGUGACUCACAACUUAAAUGCAUGCCCUGCUCUUCCGUCUAAAGUCAAUGUAUUCCUCUUUGUUAUUCAAAGUCAAAUAUUAAACUUACCCAAAUAAAGUUGGCACAGAAAUCAUGACUCUAUCCAAAUUACUUUAACAUGUUGGAUAUUAUUUUUUGGUCCUAAAUGAAACAACUCUUAAAUUAUGAAGUAAUUAUGAAGCUGUACAAUGUCUAUUUUGGUGGAUGGGUUGAUGAUGAUGAUGAUAAUUGACAUGAAAGUGAAGUCCAAAGCUCCAAAUUUAUUGCACAACUAAAAAAGAUGCAAUAAAACAACGACCAAAAUAAAUAUUUAGCUAAAUCACUGCUCUCUCAUCAUUAUAAAUAACUCUCACAGCUUAACAUUUAAGCACCAAAUUAAUGGUUUACUUCUAAAAUAAGGCAACUCACAUAGUCAUUUUCAUGCAAUCUACCAAACUCAUGUAUCCAAUUAAAUUCAUCCAUGAGAGUUAGGUAGUUAUCUAAUUACUUUCCUUUCUCAAUUUCAGCCCCCAUUAUAGGGGCGUAAAUUAGGACAUGUUUUCCAAAACGUUUUUUCCUCUUCAAUUAGUGGGGUACCAAAAUGGAGAAAUAAUCAAACCCACCACAUGGCCGACAUCUUGGCUACUUCUGAAAAAAAAAAUUUAAUAAAAACAUCAAAUCCUUUGUCCUCAGCUAUAUGGAUUUUUUUAUAAUGGCUCGCAUGUCAUGUAAUAUUUGACAACUGCUGAAAAAGUUUUGCUGAUUGUUGGUGUGUUGCUUUCAAAACAGUAGACUAUCCUUACAGCUUAUAUAAUACUUUACAAAGUGCAAACCUUAAAGUUUGAGGUUUCCCUGCCUUGUUAGCAUUCCCAUAUUGGGAACAAGAAAAACCAGGUGAAUCCUCUUUGUUUCAUGGUCUCAAUGCUUUUACUUGUUAUUUUAAUUCUGCUAUUUUUGUACAGUUCUUUUUAUUACUUGGACACCUGAAAAUUUUCCCAGGUUUCAAAAUCAAAGGAAAAGUAUGAGUUCAGUUUCUGUUCCUCAAGAAUCUUCCCACAGUGAUGAACUGUUAAUGCAGCAGGGUUUGCUUUUUUCAGAUACUCUUAAGGUGAAUUUUGCUCUGACCUUGUUUGCUGUUCAGUUUUGAUAUUGAUAUCAAUAGAUAUGAAUUCACUGUGUAAUUGAACUCUUUCACCUCAUGAACCAUUUUUCUUUUUAGGAUUUGAAAAGUUUAAGAAAACAGUUGUAUUCUGCAGCAGAUUAUUUUGAAAGAACAUAUAACGAGGAAGAACAGAAAGAAUUGUAAGUCUCAUGAGUAACAUUGCUUUAAAAACUAGGGAUUGAAAAUAUUUAAAACCUCUCUUAAUCGGUUUUGACAAUGGAAACAGAGUCGAGGAUACUUUGAAAGAUUAUGCCAUUAAAGCUUUGAUCAAUACUGUGGACCACUUAGGUUCCGUAGCAUACAAGGUUAACAAUUUUCUGGAUGAUAAGAUGGUUGAAAUUUCUGGGAUGGACCUUCGUUUAUCUUGCUUGGAACAGGUAUCUUUUUAUAUAUGCAAAUGCUUAAAAGUUUUCGAACUCGUUUGAUUUUCUGUUUCGCAUCGUCGCUUAUGGUGGAUGGGACGGUAGCGGUUGCGAACAUGCCGAGAGUUUGUCAGCUUAGGGGGUCUCUCUCAGCAGUCAUUAGUGUUUGAGGCACACAACAAGCACCACAAGCGGUACAUCUUUCCAGUUGAGCAGACCCUGAAUGAUGUUGCCGAAACGAUAUUCGAGUUCCACCCCGAUAGAAUGCCUGCUAGAUUAGACUUGCACCAGUUUAAUAAUAUUGGUAUUGUUUAUCUUCAUGUUCAUAUUCAAACUUUUCUUGUAAGGCAAGUAAUUGAUGAUGUUUCGGUUUCAUGCUAUCGAACCCCAGAUAUUCAAGCAGUAGCAGCAGAAACCCCUUCCGAAUCCAUCACGGAUGCAUUCUACGCGUUACACUCUCCACAAUCUUUGCCAAGAAAAAGCCCCCAGUUAUUUACCAGCAUUUCAAUGAACCAAAGACAAGGUAAGUUCGAACAUUGUUACAGUUAUCUGUUGGAAGCAAUUUGGUGAUUGCAAUUAUGUUCCUUUGAAACCAGAGAACCGGUCAAACUCUCCUCGUCAGUUUCUGCUCCCGCGUUCUGGAUCUGUUAUGCAGAGAUCAUCAUCUCCGAGCCAUUCGAAUGCUAAAAAACGGGUACCAAUCGAAAAACCUAUCAUUCAUCUAUGGGACAAUUCAUGAGCUUGCACCUUUGUAUAUGUUUUGGUGCAAUUGAGUGUUAAAUUUAAGAUAAUUUUCUCUGAUUCGGACAGUGGCCGUCGGAGCCUCGGAGAACUGUUUCAAUGUCCACUUCCCUAGCUGAAAGAGAGAGGGCUAAAGAUAUGGAGCAAUAUUCUAGCAAAGGCAAACGUCUCCUCAAGGCUAUGCUCAGCUUGCGCAAAUCCAAAAAGAAUGUCACAUUGCACAAAUUCUUGGAUGAGAAUUGAGAACAACAAUGUUAUACUCAAACAAUUCAUUCAACAUAUCAGACAUUACGCAAUUGGAAAAGAAAGAAAUAUACUAUAAAUUUUAGUUCAAUUGAUUCAUACUGUAUGUCAACCGAACCUAAAUAUCUUUGGUUGCAAGAGCUUUUUCAAGUUAUAAGAAACAUGUUUUUUUUGAGAGAACCCUUGGCAUUGGGUUAUUUAAGAUGGGCCACAUGAUUAUGAAACUAAAACCUCUUUAUAGCCCGUACAUUAACAAAAGAAAUAAAAAAGGAGACAAUAAUAAUAAUAAAACAUGGCUUGAUAAGAUAAAGUAUUUGGUAACAAGAGCUGCUUUGUUUAGCACCAUGUCUGUGUCAAGAUAAUGAUCAUAACCCCCAAAAAAAUGUCUCAAUGGGUUUCUUAAGUUGCUCUGGUGGUCUUCUUGGGAUCAUGGUUGCCAUUAACGACCACCUCAGAUAGGUUCACUUCCACCUUCGUCUCUUUCCUUGCUGCUAUUAUUCUCUUUGUGGACUCAUAGUAUGUGGCGUACAACAACAGCUGCGCUAAGCUAAACAAUGUGCCCAAUCCAUUUGGAACCUGAAAGAAAAUUAAAAAACCAAAAACCUCAUUAUAGAAACCAAACAUAUAUAUCGAUUUUCAAAAAAAAAAAAAAACCAUAUUCAGUGUUCAAUUUGACCAUCAAUGGGUCCUAUUUUGAUUCAGUGUAAGUCACAUGGAUCUUGUAAUAAUUUUCAGCUCAUUUUCCCCUUUCCAAAAGUCCUUGUUUCCUUGCCUUUCCAAAAUAGAAACGGCAUAAAAGGCAUGCACGUGAAAAAGAAAAAGAGGUGGCUAACCUACCAAAACAGUACAAAAUACCAGCUGCCCCUCCCAUUCCCAUUACCAGUCCACAGUUUUUGUUGUGUUGCAUAAGAGUAUACAAAGGCUAAUCCAGUCCAGGAUCAGAGCAUGUCACUGGCUUUAUUGAGGGCCAAGGUCUAUAUAUAUCAACUAAUUAAUAAUAAUAUCGAGCAAGGAAAUGGGUCACUUCAGUCAAGGUUGUCAUAUUUACCGAAUGUUGCAUGCAAAUAUUCCAUUAAAUAUAUGAUCAUAGUACCAACAUGGUUAGUUUCCUAGGAGAGGAAAAUCAAGAAUAAGAUGCCUAGUAAUAGGGAAAAGCUUAAAAGUUAUAUAUAUAAUGGAGAAGGCCAUAAAUUCACUUUUUUUUUAAUAGUGACACCUCUAUUGUUUUGCUUUUCUUUAUAGUUAGUUGAAAUGAAGCAGUCAAAAGAGAAACAAAAAGGUAUUGAAUUUUGUAACUUACAGCAAUGAAUGGGUCAAAAGGGAGGAAAGCGUAUGUAGUCCAUGCAACACCAUUGGCAAAGGAAGCCAGGGAGAGAAAAAAGGGCAUAUACUCUACGCUUUUUGUUGAGAUCACCAGUUUCUGCACCACCAUUGUACAUAAAUUAGACCACUCGUGUUUGUGUUUUAAAUUUAUUGAAUCCCACCUUUUAAAAAUGAUUAUACUAACUAAUUAAAUUAAAUUUAGACUGAUAAAACAAUAACAAAAUUCUACAAAUUAGGUAACUAUAAGAAUGGUCCAUUUAAGGAAAUGACAAUGCAAGUUCUAUGUACCUAGCGUCCACUCAAAUUCAACAAACUGAAUUAGCCUUAGUAAACGAGCUUGAACUAAAUUAGUCUAAAAAUAUAUAUACUAACCAUGACGGAUAAAGGCGAAGCAUACAUCAUGAUAUUGAACAAAAUUGCGAUAAUUCCGACGACAAUGGACCGGCGUUCAGUGGUGUGAGCUAAUGUGAGAACCAGAGCAGCGACAAGGGCCAUGAAAACUACCUCGACCAACGCGAUCAGCAGCACUUUGAGUCUCUUUUUCUUGUCAUGGCAAAAGAUCAAGAAGAGGGUUAAAUAGACGAGCUCAAUGGCGGUCCCUGCACCAUUGAUGGUGAUAACCAGGGUGCUGUCGGGAUGAACCAUAGGCAGGCCAUAAAUGACCCAAACCAUGCAAUUGAUUAAAGUUGCCAGGUACGGGACUGGGGAGUACUGUUCCACUGACCCUUUCUUCCAAAUCCGAACAAAAGUUGGCCUGUCAAUUAAAUGAAAUCAACUUCUUCUUCUUCUUCUUUUUUAAAAAAGCACACAUUAAUUUAAGCUUAGAUUUAGAGAAAAAGUCACUGAAAGAAGCUUACACAGGAGACAAGAAGAGGAAGAGAGAGAUAACGUUCCCUGCAAAGAAAAUAUACUGUCAUAUUUAAGGAGACAACGUCGUAUGGUGUCCCUAAAUUGUAUGUUAAAAUAACCUACCUGUGAUCCCAACUACAUUUCGGAUAGUGCUGACUAGGUGAGACACCAUGGUUAUCUGCUGUAAAGCAAUGAAUGAAACAAGGAGGAGGACAGAAGAGAGUGAAAAGAAGAUCAAGAUUUUCAACUUUAAAACAUAUAUGGAUGACUACGAGACGUCAUGGUAUAUAUAAAGAGAAGAAUCUGAAAAUGUGGGAGGAGAGAGGGGGGCGGGGUUCAAUGCGGUUUGGGGCUAUCUUAUGUGAAUAUGGAUAUGGCAAGUAUCUAAAACUGGUUGGUCAUCACGCCCUUGCAUGACAUGUAUGUUUUGUAUGUAAUAGUCGGUCGUAAAUUUUGCAAUUUAUAAAACGCUUGAAGAAAAACUGCCCAACAAAACCCAUCUCAAUCCCCUUUUUUUUCUUAGGUGGGCUUGUUUGAGGACGGCGUUAUCUUGACGCUGGGGGCGUGCUCGAUUCUCGGUUCUGUUGGGUCGGGUAUUUUAAUUUUUUGAACCAUUUAUAAUUUUUUAUUUUAUUUUUUUAAGCUUUCAACCAAAUAAAAUAUAAUCCAUGUCUCUUAUAUUGUUAUUUUUAGUUACUUUCACCAUUUUAAGUACAGAAAAUCUUAAAUUAAUUGUACAUUAAAUAAAAAUAAAACAAUUUUACUUAUAUUUUCAUAAAAUUUCUCAACAUCUCGAUUUUCUUGGCACUGCAUUCGAGAUUCCCAUAAAACUCAGCCAGGAACAGUGAAUUGUUUUCUUCAUGGUUUUUAGUAUAUAAAUGGGUUAGCCAAAUGUAAAUAUUGAAUGCUAUUUUUCAACUAGAAUUUAAUUCUAGCUUAUCCAUAAUCCAGAUGAGGAUUUAAAGUAGUGUCAGGGGAACCCAGAAUUCCAUUGGCUGCCAUGUUUUUUUGAUAAUUUAUGUUAAAGGCCAAGCCUAACCAUUACUCUUCACUACGACCACACUGAAAUUAAGUCUUUGAAAGGCAAUAAACUUUCUCAUUAUGAUAUAUAAGGAUAGCAUUUAUCACUCUUGACCCCUUAUAUGGUAAGAAUAUCACAAAUAUAAUUCAAUGCCUAUUAACUUUUACUUACCUAAACUGCCAUUAGGAUUUGUUUAUUUGAAAUUUUCGAUUUAAGAUUUAAAUUUUAAGUAUGGGAUGAGUUUUUGUUUCGAUUUAAUAUAUAUAUAUAAAUUUUGACUCGGUAUAAUUAUACGAAUGUAUAUAUAUAUGAAUUUUUUAUUUUAAUUUAAUUAUACACAUUUAAAGAAAUUAAUCCAUAUAUUUAUCUUCAUAUUGGAUUAAUUUAAUUGUUUGUGUAUGCAAUAUAUCAACGUAAAAUGGUGUUAAUUUGAUAAUGUUGUAGUAAUUUGUGAAAAUUAAACUAAAUCAAAAUUUCAUUUAUAAAAUCGCAUAAAAUAAAAAUUCAUAUGACAUUACACGUUGGAUCAAACUUUAUUUUGUUGAUAUUUAUCCAUUUUAUUAUUAUUGUUAUUUUUUUUUGAAAAUUAAUCAUAUUGUAGAGUACAAAAAUAUGCAACUUAAAUUAUAAAAAUAAUUUAUUGUAACUCAUUAUUAAUAGUUUGAUAUAUGAAAUAUAAAUUUUAAAUAAAUCUAAGUUGUUAAUAUAAAUUGUUUGCAAAAUUUAAUUUUACAUAUAAAUCAUAUUUUAACUUUUUUUUGAACCUCUUUUUGGGGCAAUGCAUAGAACUAUUUAUAGCCCUUUGCCAACCCAUAAAUAGAAGGAUAAUGCGCUUCAGCGCAUUCGAACCCACAUCCUCCUACAACAAUAUACAUACCAAUUGAAUUAAGACUCGAAUAUAUUAUAUUAUAUUUAAUUGGUAAAAAUAAAAAUAACUAUAUACCCAAUAAAAAUGUUAAGAAAAAAUGCAUUAAUAAAUGAAAAUUAUAAACAUCAUUUUAAUUCCAAAAAUAAUUUUCAAAAGUUAAUUUAGGUCAAAUUAUAAAUUUAUGCUCCAUUUAUAUUAACUAUAAAUUCUAAAUAUGAUAUAAAUAUUAAAAUUAAAUUUUACAAACCAUUCAUAUUAAUUACUUAUGUAUAAAAUAUAUAAUUAUAUAUUAUAAUAUUAACAUUGAUUUACCACAAAUUAUUUUACUAUAUUUGCACUAUAAUCUAAUUAAUACUAAAAUAAUAACAAUGUGAUACCAAUUAUUUCAUCACUUGUAAUUUUUAAUUCAUUUACAAGAGUAAUGUUUAUAUUUGAUUUUAUUAUAUGUGUACUAUGAUCGUUUUGAAUGCAUUUAGUGCUCUAUAUCAUGUCAUAUCUCAAUGUUCGAUUAUAGGAUAAUUUUUUUAAGGGAGAAAUUCACUUACAUUGAUGUAAAAUUUAAUUGGUUUUAUAUUUUUUUAUAAUUUUUUUAUGAGAACAAUAUUUUAAUCUAUCGAAACGUCAUAUUUUAUACUUCAUUCAUUUAAAUUAAACAUAUUAAGAUCAACAUAAAUUACGUAAAAAAUUUCAACCAUUAAAUAUAUAUUGAUAUAGACAAUGUUUUAGAUUGAUAUGAUUAAGAUAUUUAAUCGAUUCAAAACGUUACAUGUAUGACAAGUAAAAAUAUAAUAAUAAAUUCAACAUUAAAUAAUUAAAAUAUUAAUUGUAUAAAAAAUUAAGAAAAAUAAUUUUUUUUAUAUCGUUUUGAAUUUUAUUUUUACCAUGGGUUUUUUUUUUUUUAAUUUCAUGACAGAUUCUAUGAUUAUUAUUAUUUUAUAAAGGAGGAGAUUUCAACAUAAUUAUAAAAAUAGAUCAUAAAAUACUGAAAAUUUGAAGUUGAAAUCUCUAAUAAUUGGAUCCAAAGUCGAAAAAGUAGAUGACUUUUUCAAGUUUUAUAACAUUGCAUUAACACUUGUCUUGUUCGAGAGAGGUAAUCCAGGAAGGAUAGAAACAAUUGGGAAAGUCCCAACUUUCCAGAGAUGGAAAAAGAAACAAAGACCUGCAUUAGCCGAUUAUGUGGUGCUUUUUGUAUUCGUUUUCACCUUUUCUUUUCCCCCUUUGCAUGUUUGGUGAUUGCCAUGCGAAGUGUUAUGAAUUAAUGUCGCAGGGGCUAUUUACUUUCAACUUGCUAUAACCUUUUUAUGCAAUUUUUAUGUGUGAAUCAUAGUUGCAAAAUAUCUACUUUUUUCAUGAAAUAUCAAUGUUGCCAAAAGGUGAGUUGGAUAAUGGCCCCUACUUUAAUUUCUUAAAGUUUUUAGUAGUUUUCCCACUAAUAUUUUGAUAUGAUAAAAGUCAAAUAAUUUUUAAUGAUUUGUAUUGACUUCAUUAAGUAUUGAUCGAAGUAUAGUAAGAUUAUCAAAUUAUAUAAAGAAUUUUUACACUAUUUUUUAUUAAAUAAUCUUGGGAUAUUAGAGGACGAGAAAAACACAAAAAAGCUCUUUCAUGAUUUUUAUUUAUUUUUAUGUGUGUCUUCCGAAUGAAAACCGAUUCAUAUUUAUGAAGGUACUCAUGUCUCUUUUUUUAUUUUUUUAUAGAGACAUAAUUAUCCAAUAAUUAUCUAUUUAGAUAAUUCCAUAUCUUAACAACAAACAAAACUACAUUUAAUAGAUAUAUAAUUGAAUAGUUAUAAUUAAUGUUUUUAGAAUCGUAAUGGUGGUCAAAUUGGUUAGGCCAUUGGUUCGUCGGCCCGAUAAAUUCAAUUAAAAAUUAAUAAAAAAAUGUAUUUUAAGAAACAGUUCAUUCGGUUUAGUCGAUUUUUUUGCCAGUCGCACUUCAACUAGUCCAAUACCAUUCUUCGAACUAAUAUCUCAACUGAUCCAAUCUAGCUCAAACAUCACUAGUUAUAACUUUUCGUCAAUAACCGUAUGAUAUAACUUUUAAUAAUUUACCAAUAAACUUAACUCAUCACUUUUAUUCCUUUGGCUUUAACUUUGGAUUAUUGAUAACAUUUGACUUUUAAUUGUGUGAAUAUUAUUUUGAAAAUAUUCAAAUAAUAUCAUUUUCAAAACAUUUUAGAUUUUCACAAUCUUAAAAAUUAGUUGCAUAAAAUUUUAACACUAAUCGAGGUAAAACAUUCUGUAAUAGCUCAUUUUUGCCCGGGCCCAACGAAAUAAACCAAAAAUAAAUAAAUUAAUAGUCUCAGUCCAUUUUACAAAAAAAUAAACCCAAAGCCCAAUUAUGCCAGCCCAAUACAACCCUAGCCCACAUAAACAUUCAGCAGAAAAAAGAAAAAAACCCUAGCCUCCCUAACUCUUCAGCCGCCAGCCUCCACGCAUGCCCACUGUCACCACCGCUCGCCUAUCACCGACCACCAUGCGUCUGACGCCCUCUGACACCACCUGCAAAGAGAAAUCAAUUGCAAGACGAUAAAAAAAAUAGAGAUUAACAGUUUGUAUUCGGCUAUAAAAAGCCAAGAACCAAUGCUUGUAAAACUUCUUCUUUUCUUUACGAAGACUAAGAAAUAAAAACCAAAAACUAAGGUGAUUUCCUAGUUUUUUUUUACUUGAAUCUUUCCUUUUUCUUUACUUUCAUUGUUGUUUUUUUAAUUUUUUAAAAACGAAAAUUAAAAAAAAGCAAACAGAAAACGAAAGUUUGAGAGUUGAUUUUUAGUCUUGCCCGAUUGUUUUUUUUCUUUUUUAUUUAUUUAUUCUGUUUUGUUUCUUUCUAACACGAAAAUAAAAGAAGAAAAAGAGGUGUACCUUUGAAAUCACCGAAAAGCGACGAACUUUGGGCGUCCCACCGCCGCAUACGGUGGCGUCCGGUGGUGCUCCGGUGGCUGGGUCCUCGCCGGAUUCCGAGGGCUGAGAGUGUUGAGAGAAUCUUAGAGACUCUCUCUCUGUUUUUGUUGAAAAAUGGAAGUGAAAUGAUUUUUUUUUUCUGUUUUUUCCUAUUUAUAUGGGACCCGAAACGGCGCCGUGUUGGGCUUAAGCAUCAAUAGUCAAAACGACGCCGUUUUGCCUUAAAACCCGAAUACCCGACCCGUUUAGCAGAGGAUCCGCGCGUUUUGAAGGCCGAAUGGACUAUUUGCGCUUUGGGUCCCUCUGCUUUGAUGCUUGGCUUCAAUUCGGUCAUUUUGCCCUUUUAGCAUUUUCAAUUUUACCCCACUUCUUUCGCGUUUGUUCCAUUUUGGUCCGCCCAGAACGUUGCGUUUUAAGAUUGGGGGAUAUUUCCCUAUCAGUCUCUUAUUCUUUAAGCGCAUCCCAUUUUGGUCCCUGGUGACCCUUUUAUUCAUUUGCAAUAUAAACCCCGAAUUUUGGAUCAGAUUCCAAUAUCGUCAUUAGCUCAUCUUUAUUUUUCCUUUUUUAAAUUAAUUUAUUUUUUAAAAAAAAGAAAGGAGCUCUCCUAUCAUUAUUAUUGUUAUUUAUUUUAAGUUUUAAACAUGUUAUUUAUUUUAUAAUGUUUUACUUAAAUUUUUUUAUUUACAUUAUUUGUUCAAAAAUAUUUCGUAUAUAAUAUCUUUUAAUUUUUUUUAUUUAUGUAUUAUUUUUUUUACAAAGAAAAAUAAUAUUGUUUUAUAUUUCCUUUUACUUAUUUAUUUAUUUUUGACUAUGUUGGUACUAUUCAUUCUCUUGAACUGGCUCGUUUAUUUUAUGUUGCAUCGUCUAUGUUUUUUUAUUUUUCAUCAUUUAUUUAUUUACUACUUUUCAUGUACUUUCAAAUUCGAAUUUUAUUAUUUAAUGUCAUUGUUAUCGUUGUUAUUAUAUUAUCAUGAGUGUUACCGUUCAUGCGUGUUAACUUUAUGAUUCAUUUAUAUUAAUGCCAUGUCUAUUAUAUUUCAUUACGUAAAUUAUUUCAUUGUUGCCCCAAGUGUAUAUUGCAAAAUCGUUAUUAAUCGCAUUUGAUCCUUUUAAAGUUUUCAAACGACUUCUUUUUGAAUGUAAUAAAAAUGCGCAUUGUAUUUUCAAGUAUUCCAUUAAUAUUCAUUCAAAUUCAAAAUAAGGCAAUAUUUUUGCGUUUGGAAAAUUCGAGCAAACGUGCCCUAAUGUGUUGGGUUUCGAUUUCUCGUUCGACCAAAUAGCCAAAUAUCCUUUUUAACUUUCAAAAUAAGGCAAUAUUUUGCGUUUGGAAAAUUCGAGAAAACAUGCCCUAACGUGCUGGGUUUCGAUUUUUCGUUCGACCAAAUAGCCAAAUAUCCUUUUUAACUUUCAAAAUAAGGCAAUAUUGUGCGUUUGGAAAAUUCGAGAAAACGUGCCCUAACGUGCUGGGUUUCGAUUUCUCGCUCAACCAAAUAGCCAAAUAUCCUUUUAAAUUUUCAAGGUGAGGCAGUAUUUUGCGUUUGGAAAUUCGAGGGAACGUGCCCUAACGUGCUGGGUUUCGAUUUCUCGUUUGACCAAAUAGCCAAAUAUCCUAUUAAAUUUCAAUCCAUAUCAUUCGGUUUUUUUUAGGAUCGUACUCUAAAUCUCUUUAAGGUUUUCAAUUUUUGACACUAAGACACUAAUUAAUUAAUUAUGUACCAAUUUUGGGCGCAUCGAUAAUUACGCACCUCGAAAAGUUCGAGUGGUUGUUUUUAACUAGGUACUAAUUAAUUAACUAAGUACUCAGUAAACGAUGAAUCCAUUUUUCAUAAGCCCAAAUAAAACUAAAACCCUAAAUCCCAGAGAUUGUGGAAACUCGUUUAUCUCGCUGAAGCUAGGCGAAGCGAAGCGCCCGUUUUCAAAAAUGGCGUCCUUAAUCUCAGAAACAAGCCAAAAAAUUUUCACCUCCGAGACCCUCCGUGCUGCAGCCAAACAGUCUGAACGUUGCCUCGUCGUUCCCGUUCGCCUUCGCCGUGCCAUCAAGAAGUACCUCCGAGGUAAUCCGUCUAUCCAUCAUCCCGGUAAAUUUGCUUACCAGCUCGAUAUCUUUUGACUCAAAUUUUUCGUGGUUGUUGGAUUGUAGAGCAAGAGGACCCUUAUAUGCGAAGAAAAGUGUUGCGGUUAUCUCAGUCUUUUAGCGAUAUUAAAGAUGUGAAUCUGCAACUCGUGGCUGAGACUUCAAAAGAGCUCGUUGCGGAUCCUCUUAAGUCGAUGGAGCAAUCACAGAGAUGGAAAAUCAAGAGUGCUUAUGGUGAUAUCGGUCUCACUUAUAGAGAUGACGAGACCGUUGCUUAUGUUGCUUCCAGGAUGCCCGCUGUUUACUCUGCUUGUUAUAGGGUCCUUAGUGAGGUACCAAAAUUUAUUUCCUCUAAAUUGCUACUUAAAUUAUAAAAAAAAGAUUGUGCCAUGAUUGCCAAAUAUUUGCUUUUGUGGCCAUUUCUGUAGGUGAAAUUUUAUAUUGUAUAACUAAUUUUGAGGAUUAUUUUGCUUAUUCUAGGUGAGGAGAAGGCUACCAGGUUUCUCUCCAACGAAAGUUUUGGAUUUUGGUGCUGGUACUGGUUCAGCUUUCUGGUGAGAAUUUAUUUGCUUUUAUUUGCAAGAAGCUAUUUUCAAAUUGAGUGCCUUGAAGUUAUAUAAAAUUUGUUACAGUGGUGUGAACUUUGCGGUGUUCUAGGGCAAUGAGAGAAGUGUGGCCUAAAUCUGUGGAGAAAUUAAACAUAGUGGAACCAUCUCAAUCUAUGCAGCGUGCAGGUCGAAGUCUUGUACAAGGUAAUAAUUAUUGAACUUCACAUUUCAUUUCAUUGAAUCUAAUCGCUGCUGGGAAAUGCAUUUUUCAGGGAGCUAGUUAAUUGCAUUUCAGCUUCUUCAUGCUUAUGCAAAUGAGAAAUUUUGAAUAUUGGAUAUUAUUACAUUUAUAUGAUGAUACGAGCUCGAUUAUGGAUGACUCGAGUCGUAUGUGAUGCCUGAUCGUGAAUUCGAGUAAGAGUUUGCUUGUUCUGAAUCUGGUUUAAAAUUGUAGUAAAAUAGGCUGCUGUAACUAAUGAGAUAGGCUUCAAAUGAAGGGUGCGAAAUAGGUGAGAAAAUGGAUAGUUAAAUUCGGCUAAGGCCAAAGAAAGAACCAACAAUAAAAGAAAUUGUUGACCCGAAUCUUAACAAGGCGCUUAGAUGAUUUCGGUUUGGAAGUUGAUAGUUAAACUUUGACCCGCUAUCAAAGAUGAUAGGAACCAGAGGUAUAUGAACGCCACACCAGCAAGGUGAUAAGUUCGGUUAACAAAGGAAAGAAUUGACCCCACAAGAUAGCUUGAUAAGUCGAUUCAGUCCCGAGAAAGAACAAGGAGAAUUAGAUAAUCUCACAAGUUUAAGUCAAACGAGCUGAAUUGAGCUCAACGAGCUGGAAUCGAACUAAUUCAACGUUCAAAGGAUUGCAAACAACGCUUAGAGAGCUGGACCAAGGGCGUUUCUGGGGCGUGAUCGUAUCAUAUGAGUGCAUUACAUCAUAGUUUAUGUGGUUUAGGGGAAAACAGCAGUGAAUCAAUAGAAUUAGGGCUGAACAAACAAGUAAGAAAGUAGUAGGAACUCUAGGAAAUGUAAGUUUAUAAAAGAACUUCUAGUUUCUUUCUGUUAAUUCAAAGAAAAUAAUAAGAAUAAUAAUGUUGGGGGUAAAGUUUACAACUUAUUUAUACUAGACUUUUUCUUGCAAGUAAAGUUGCUAGGCUUCCUUGAAAAUAAAGUUUUAUUCCUAAAUCACUCUAGCCCUCCAUGAUAUGUCUAAUGCUUGAUAAAUGAAACGGAAAUAAUUAAAAGCUCCUGCAUCAUUAGUGACUUAUACGUAUCUUUGGGCAUGUAAAUGGAUGGUACAAAAGAGUUGAGAUCACCAAUUGUCUUAGGUGACUAUUGGAUACGCAAAUGGAUGGUAGAGUGGAGUUGAGAUUAUUACUUGUCUGUGGUGAUGAUUUCUUUUUGAUGAUACAAUUAACAUGGAAUUAUUACAAGUGAGCAUAGAAGUUUCAUUGUCUUAACUCUGAACACUUGUAUAAUACAUUAUUUAAGACAUAGCUGGGCAAUUUCUUGUAUUUUUAUGCCGUUUCUUUAUGUUACUUUUAGACCUGAAGAACUUGCCGCUUAUUCAUGGCUAUACUAGCCUUCAAGCAUUAACAAAAGAAGUUCAAAAGUCUGAGAGGCAACAUGACCUUGUAAUUGCUGUAAGUUUGUCACUCUACCUAAAUUUUGUCAUUGUUUUGCUGCAUAUAGUUGGUCCUAACAAAAUAAAAUUCCUCUUUUGAUGGGAAAGUCUUAUGUGCUUGGAGAGAUACCAUCAUUGAAGGACCGAAUUACAAUAGUGCGCCAACUUUGGAAUCUUACACAGGAUGUCCUGGUAUGUUCUUUGAAUCUUUUAUAUGUUUGUCAUGGUUGGGGAUUAUCAAUGAUUUUGUAUCGCUCUGUCAUUUAAUAGAAUGCAAAGUAAUGUAUGCCAUCCAUGCCACCUUGACUUGGAAAGUUGGAAACCCUUCCGACACCUGAUGGGAUGAAUUGAGUCACCUGGAACAAUGACAGAUUAUAAGCUGUUAUUUGGAGAAUAUAAUUUUGGUCCUUUGUUUUCUAUCCUAUUGAUUUCAGAUUUUAUAAAUUUGAUUGUUGGCAGGUCUUAGUAGAACCAGGAACACCGCAUGGAUCUAAUAUUAUAUCCCAGAUGCGAUCUCACAUAUUGUGGAUGGAAAAAAGAGUGAGUUUGCUUGUCCUCCUUUUUCUCUGUUGGCAAUAACUUUGGCAUGUUGCGUGACUAUUGUGUUUCAUUUAUGGAUAUUCUUUCUCCCCAUGCUUAUAUGAUACCUUAGUAAUUACUUCUUAGAAAUUCCGUAAAGCCAAGGUGAACAAGGAAGAUUCUAAGGACCUUAUCGAUCUUAGAAGUGGUGCAUUCAUUGUUGCUCCUGUAAGUGUGAUGUUGUUUCACCUCUACUUUGCCCUUUUUUUCCCAUCCUAAAGUAUGCUUCAUUCCUAUUUAUUUUCUUUUCUUUAGAGGACAAUUAUAACUGAGCCACUUUCAUGAUACAGUGCCCUCAUGAUGGGCGUUGUCCAUUGGAGAAAUCCUCGAAAUACUGUCAUUUUGUUCAACGUUUGCAGAGGACAACUUCACAGCGUGCAUACAAGGUUUCUCCUCUAGUUAUGGAUCAUUUGUUUAUCUAGUAUUCCAUGCAACAUAUCAGCAACUGUGAUGCUGGGAUUUUUUUAUUCUGCCAUUCUUUUUCUCAACUUAAGAUUUGGUAUGUUUUACUUCUACAAAUGAGCUAAUCACCACAUGAAGUGCCUAGCUCCAUACUAUGUCAUGUCUCAUGGUGGUUCAAAACAAAAGUUGAACUAUACUUUUAAAAUUUGGCAUUUAUAGGAACUUUUUUGAGGAGCCAAAGAGUUCAUCUUCAAGGAGUCAGAAUUAGGAAACUUCUAUAGAUCUCAAGUCUCUCCUUCAUCAUUAUUUUGCAGCGCUCCAAGGGUGAUCCUUUACGUGGCUUUGAAGAUGAAAAAUUUUCUUUCAUUGCUUUCAGAAGAGGACAACGACCUCGGUAAGUAUGUUUACUGGUUUGAGUAAUACUUAAACACCUCUUUAAGUAUGUUUAAGCAUUACCACAAACCAUACACCCACCGUACUUUUAAUCAUCACCCUUUUUCCUCUAAUAUUUAUGUCAUUAAUGUUAACCACCAUUAAUAAAUUUCAAAAGGGACCCUUGGCCUCUGGAUGGUAUGAAAUUUGAGACUUUGAAAGAGCAGCGUGCUAAGAGAAAUCCUGAAGAUUUCGAGAUCGACUAUGGUAUCGUGUCUAUCUCCCUUUAUUUCUUAUUCUUUUUUUUUUUAAAUCUUAUUUGACUCAACUACAGUGCUUGCUUACUUUUACUUCAAAACGUGUUCUGAACUCGGACAGAGGAUCUAGUUGAUGCAGAAGAAACUUCUGAUAUGAUCCCAUAUGAAGAAGUGGAUCCAAGUGCCUACGACUCCGAUGUUAUGGAAACCGAUAACAUCAUAGAUAAUGACGAAGAUCAAGAAGAAACCGUUAAUGCUAAUCUUGGUGGUGGUUGGGGAAGGAUCGUCUUCCCUCCUGUUCGACGAGGCCGACAGGUUCACAUGAAUAUUUGUCGAUCAACCAAUCCAGACGCCUCAGAAGGUUCAUUCGACCAUGAGGUUAUCACACAAACUAAGAACCCAACGUUGCAUCUUCAAGCCCGAAAGUCUUUCUGGGGCGACUUAUGGCCCUCGGGAAGGAUUGUAACAACUGCAACCUCAUGAUCACACCAAUGUAAAAGACUAUAUAUUUAUUAAUAUAGAAACGUUUGAGUUAAUAAUAUUUGCAUGUGAGCUUCUUCUUCCACCGACAAAUUUCAAGCUUGGUUCAUGCACCGAACUUGCCUCUUGCAAGGUUAUGCAGGUAGAGAGGUAAGUGAACAAGUCUUCUUAGCUUAACUAGAUAUGGUUCCUUGGCACAUAAACUAGAAAUGUCCAUCGAUUAGCCACAACCUUUACUGGUUCACUUUUGCCAUUUCAUGAUGAGAUCUGGUUGCAGCAUUUUGGAGACGAGGACUCGAUCAGUGUUACAAAACGACACUUACUUUUGUCUCCCACCAGCAAAAGAAAGAAUAAGGAGAAACAAAAUCUCACCCCCAAUCCCAAAAGUAGUUGAUCCUGUUUGAUCAUUUGAGACAAUGGAUAAGGAAGUUGUCUGGUCAUUCUUGAGAUUAAAGUUGAAGGGAUGAUUAUAAGGUUUAGGGUUCUUUAGAUAAAAAGCAUAUGUAUAAAAAGGUAAAAAAACUUUCGGGUGUCUCUUAAUUUUAAUGUGGAGUAUCUCUUAAGAAAAUGGGAUAAUUAAAACCUUUUCAAUUUGGAAGUAAUCAACUAAGUACGAUAUUCACUUUUUUUUUUUUUAUCAAUUUAUCCUACUUUUGGUUGAAAUAAUAGCUCUCAAUAUUAUCCUGAAUCUAAAAAAUUUAAUAACUUUAACUCUCAACAUUUAUAAAAUGUAUCAAUUUGGUACUAGUUCUAAAUUUGUUCGUAUCCAAUGAGGGUUAAAGUUGUUAAUCUUCUUAGGAUCAAGAUCAAAAUGGUAGAAUCUAUAUAAACAUUGAAUUUUAAAAUUGUUUUUAUACCAAUCAAAAGUAAAAUAAAUUGACAAAAAAAGUGAACAUCAUGAUUAAUUAUCUUUAGUUGCUCACUCUCAAAAUUAAAGUAGGAUUAAAUUGCUUCAUUUUUAUAGGGACUAAUUUAUUCAAUAUUGAACUUGAUAGGAACCGAAGAGAUAAUUUGCCAUAUAAAAAUAUAUAAGCUUUUACUUCUCUUAUUUAUAGUUAGGUUAACAUUGGCAAUCGACCAUCUCUGCUUUUUAUAGAAAAAUUCAGGACUAUGAAGUAUAUAAAAACAUUAAAAUCUGCUAUUUCAAAGGACAAACUUCAUCAAACAUUAAUCUUGGACUUGAACAACUAUCUUAACUUUGAUGGGUUGUACAGACAAAAAUUUAACUUGGAUCUUGAAUUCGUAAGAUGUUGAACAUGUCAAGUUAUUGUACUAAUGUACUAGAAACUUGAAAUUUUUUAUACAAGCAGUCAAUCUGAUGCAAAAAUAGAACUAUUUUAUUAAAUGGGUGGCCCCAUAUACAAUACUCAAGUUGAAAAUUAUGGUAGGUGUGCCUCUCAAAGACCAGAAAUGAAAUCUGCAUUAAUUUCAAUCUAAAUCUUUGCUUCAAAAGGAAGAAAAUUAGAUCGAAACUAAGCUUUUAUAUUAUAUGAUCACAUACAUAAGAAGCAAUUAAAAUUUGAAAAUUUAGGCCAAUGAAAAAAGGGCCUGGUGGUCCAAAAAAGGAAUCAUGGGACAACUGUGGGCUUAUUACAGGCUACAAUACUAUAUAGUGGAGAUGAGGCCUCCUCUCCCAUGAACUAACCAAACCAACCAUGUGGCCUUCACUUUUUGACCCUUUUGCAUAAUUGACCCCUUCCUGUUUUAGUUGCUUUGUCUAUAUCAUUUUUAUUAAGACCAUAUGUUUUGAUUGGUAUAUUUUUUUUUUCUAGUUAAAAUAUGCUAUUAGUCCCUGUAUGUAUCUAGAAUUUGAGAGUUAGUCCCUGUACUUUAAAAUUUAAAAAUUCCAUCCUCCUACUUUUUCAGUUUAAAAUUUCUAGCUCAAUCAUUAUUGUUGUUUGUAAUUUCUGUCAAAAUUUGUCAACUUAGCAUCACAAGCUAACUUAGAAAUUUUUUUUGAGAGGGUUAAGAUCAGGGGCGAAGCCAGAAUAAAUUAAUUUUUUAUAAUUUAGGGGGGCUAAGGUGUAAUUUUACCCUUACUAAUUUAAAAUUUUUAAAAAAAUUAAGAGCCUAAAUAGAAAUUUUAUAUUUUAAGGGGGUCGGGGUCCCUGCCAGCCCCUUCUAAAUCCGCCUCUGGUUGAGAUUGAGUUAUAUAUUUUUAGGGGUAUUAAAUAAAAAACUUGACAUUUUAGGGGUCAAACUAUAAUUUUAUCAUUUAUUUAUCUAAAAUUUUAUAAAAAUUCAAAUGUUAAAAAGCAUAAUUUUUCAUUUUUAAGGGGGGCAUGACUCUGCUUUAACAUGUUUGUUUUUUGCCAAUCAUAUGUGACGUCGUAUAAGAGUAGUCUAAUCAACAUGCUAAUUUUGUAAAUUUUGACAGAAAAUAUUAAUAAUAUGUUAAUGAUUAAGCUGAUAUUUUUAAAUUAGACAAGUAAGAUGAUUUAAUUUUUAGCUUUUUAAUUAUAAGGGCUAAAUUUCAAAUGUUGUCUAAGUACAGGGACUAAUGGCAUAUUUUAAUUAUUUUUUUGGCUUGGUUACCACGCGCCCACAAUUUCACCUUAACAAAGUGUAAACCCAAGCUCAUGCCCCAACACGCUUACACAUGGUUAUCCAACGUUGAAAUCCCUGUGAUCAAAUAGGAUCAACGGUCGAUAUCACUCCAGGUCCCAGAAAAUAUAUAUAUUAUUGCAACUGAGAAUAAAAUUGGGUGGUGGAGAAUGGAUAUUAAAUUCAUCACAGAUUUUAGUGGGUCCCCGGAAGAUCUACUAGCUAAAAUCCAACGGUUCAAAUAAACUAAUUUAAAUCUUUUUUUUUAGAAAAAGAAAAUUAUAAAUAAAAUUAGAGAUUUGGGAGCAGAAAAAUAGUGAAGCCAUUGUAUGAGAACCAAAAAAGUCGUCAACUUGAAUUAUAUUGUAUAGUAAUAGUAGUCGUGGUAAUAUUAAUAUUCCUAAUAUUUUUUAUUGAUAACGUGGAAUGCACUAGCUAAGGUCACAUGCCGUCCACGUCUAAAGAUGGGGUCCGUCACGUGACAUGAUGAGAAUGGGUAAUUUUCAUUCUUUAAAAAAAAAUAAAUAAAUCGGACGGCUGUGGGUGUAUUCCUUGCUUUGCUUGACUUGGGUAUUGUUGGGUAAGGAAUAGAGACGGGAGCAUGCGGAUUGGGGAUUGGGGUCCACCGCAAACACCACCGCCCUCGCUUACUUGUUUUUGUUUUCUCGUCACGUUACAAACGCACGCAGCCUCCGGCCGCCGCGGCGCUUCAAAAUUCAAAAAAAAUUGAGUGGGAGUGGCGUUGCGUUGCGUUGCGUUGGUCAAGAGAACUUUUAUGGUUGGGUUGGGUGAGUGGUGUUGCGGAAGCGACGAUAAUAUAAAUAACAAUAUUAUCAGAAAUAUUUAGAUAAUUAUUAUGCCAACAAUUAUACUAAGAAAAUUCCCAGUUAAAUUGGAGGGGUCACAAAUGGUCCCGCUUAAAACCCAACAACUAGACAGAACUCACUUAGAUAUUUAUAGCAAUAAUAACUAAAUAAAUAUAACCAACAUAAAGCUAUUAAAUAUAAGCAAACAAAUAAGAAAUAAAAUACCAGAGAUUUAACGAGGUUCGGCCAAUUUAGCUUACGUCCUCGGACACUACCAAAUUAAUAUUUCUUCUAGAAAUAUUACAAAGGAGAAGAUUUUGGGAUGAUACAACCAAAGGGGGAGGGGUUCUAUAUAUAACAAACCAAACCCCCUCCCUUUCUAUCUUUUCCUAAUGUGGGAUAUUGCCAAUAUUCAACAAAUCUCCACCUUGGCGAUAUUCCACAUCUUCGAACAUCUUCUCAUAACACUAACUUCAAUAGUGUCUUCAAAUUUGCAACCAAUCGCCUUCUUCCCUUUUGGUAGUUGUGCCAGCUUCCACGUCUUGUUUUUCUCUAGAGAUUGCAUUUCCUCUUCCAUUGCACCUAACCAUCUAUUAUUCUCUAAACUCUGAAUGGCUUCGGUGUAAGUGGAUGGAUAUUAUCAACAACUGGAAGUGCAUAAGCUACCAUGUCAGUGAAACGAGCUGGUUUCUGAAUUUCUCGUCUCUGCCUUCUGACUGCAAUUGGCUCUGAUUGCUGUUGAGGUUCUUGGGUAGAAACCUCUUCCUCAUCUGACUCUGCAUCUGCCAAUGAAGAAUCACUAGUGGUACCUUCUGCUGGAAUUACCACACUCUGCUCAAACUCCACCUGCUGCGGAGUACACUCCACCUGCUGCGAAGUACUACUCACUCCUUCUGGAUUUACCUUAUUCAACAUGGCAGAUUCAUGAAAGGUAACAUCCCUACUGAUUAUCGUCUUCUUUGCCUCUAGACACCACAAACGAUAUCCCUUAACACCAGCAUUGAAGCCCAUGAAUAGAGCCUUCUUUGCUCUUAGAUCUAACUUUGAUUCUUUCACAUGAUAAUAUGCAAUAGAACCAAAAAUGCGCAAGGUGUCAUAAUCAGUAGCAGGUUUUCCAUACCAUUUCUCCAAAGGAGUCUUGCCAUUUAUAGCAGAUGAUGGCAAAUGAUUGAUGAGAUGUUGAGCGUACGUCACAGCCUCAGUCCAAAACUUUCUAUCUAAUCCAGCAUUAGAUAACAUACAUCGAACUUUCUCCACAAGCGUUCGAUUCAUACGCUCUGCCACCCCAUUCUGUUGCGGUGUUCCACCUACGGUGAAGUGCCUUACUAUGCCACAAUCUUGGCAUAUCUUCAGGAAAGGAUCGCUUUUAUAUUCUCCACCGUUGUCUGAUCGGAGAACCUUAAUCUUCCUUCCUGUCUGAUUUUCAACUUUAGUUUUCCACUUAAGGAAAACUUCAAGCACCUCAUCUUUGUUCUUCAUAGGAAACACCCAAACUCGUCUGGAAAAAUCAUCAAUAAAGGUGACAAAAUAACGUCUUCCUCCAAGUGAUGGAGUCUUGGACGGUCCCCAUACAUCAGAAUGCACAUAAUCCAGAAUACCUUUAGUAUUGUGAAUCCCAGUGCCAAAUUUCAUCCUUCGUUGUUUUCCCAGAACACAAUGCUCGCAAAAUUCAAGUUUGCAAGUCUUUGUACCUUUCAAUAAUCCUUGCUUGGCUAGAGUUUGCAAGGAUUUUUCACCAGCAUGGCCCAAACGCAUAUGCCACAGCUGUGUUGCCUCAGCGUCCUUCUUGGUACUCGAAAUUGCUGCUGCUGUUGUCCCGACCACUGUACUACCUUGGUAGUAAUACAGAUUGUUCUUUCUUAUGCCUUUCAACAUCACCAAUGCUCCUGAAGUUGCUUUAAGAACUCCAUCUCGUAUUGUCACAACUAGGCCUUUAGAUUCUAACGACCCCAAAGAGAUGAGAUUCUUCUUCAACUUUGGGACAUAUCGUACAUCCCGCAAAAUUCUAGUAGAUCCAUCAUGACUCCUCAGUUUAAUUGAACCUAUCCCGGCUAUUUUACAUGUGUUAUCAUUACCCAUGUAAACAACCCCUUCAUCUAGUUUUUGAAAUUCAAAGAACCAUUCCCGAAUGGGACACAUAUGAUAGGAACAACCAGAAUCCAUGAUCCACUCAUCUGCAUAUAAUGUUGAAGAUGUCAUACUAAGAGAAAAGUCUGACUCUGCUUCACUAUUGCAUUCUGCAACAUUUGCAUCUUGCGGAGUCUUCCCUUUUUUCUUCAAUUUUGGACAAUCUUUCUUCCAAUGUCCUUUUUCUUUGCAAAAGGAACAUUCAUCUUUGGCAACAGCUCGACCUUUGGACUUUCUUCUCUUCCCAUUAGACUGACUUUGCUGACGACCUCUUGUUACCAAUGCUUCCACUGCUGCUUCACCUGAACCUUUCAACUUAUCCUUUCGGCGUAGUUCAUAGCUAUACAAUGCAGCAGUUACUUCAUUGAAAGUUACUUCCGAUUUUCCAUGAAGUAGAGUAGUUUCAAGGUACUCAAACUCCUCAGGAAGCGAUCCCAACAACAUUAACGCCAAGUCUUCGUCUUCAAAAGUCACAUCCAAAUUCAACAAAUCAGCCACCAGCUGAUUAAAAUUGGUAAUGUGCUCGUUCAUCGUGGUACCAGGAACAUAAUUGAAACGAAACAGUCUUUUCUUCAUAUGCAACUUAUUUUGACUGUUCUUCUUCAAGAAUUUCUCCUCCAAUGCUUUCCACAAUUUACUUGCAGAAGUCUCUUUACUGAAUGUAUACUUCUGCUCUCUGGAAAGACAUGAUCGAAUUGUACCACAUGCCAAUCGGUUGAUGGUCUUCCAUUCUUUAUCAUCAACCCCUUCUGGUUUUUCUUCCUCAAUGGCAAUAUCUAGACCCUGUUGAAAGAGGGCAUCUAGAAGCUCACUUUGCCACAUGCCAAAAUGACCUGUUCCAUCAAAAAUUUCCACUACAAAUCUCGUAUUUGCAGUUCCAAUCCUCGGCAAAAUGUACGAAGUGGAAGUUGUUGAUAUGGAUGGUUUUUCUUCUGUCAUUUUUGCCAUAGCUUCUACUUAAUAGCCACCAAAUGCAGAAUACCCACAAGCUUUAGGAAAUGUUUCUGAUGUGUAAGAUCAGACUAAGCUGCAAACACAGAGCAUACUACAAAACCUUGGCUCGGAUACCAAUUGUUGCGGAAGCGACGAUAAUAUUAAUAACAAUAUUAUCAGAAAUAUUUAGAUAAUUAUUAUGCCAACAAUUAUACUAAGAAAAUUCCCAGUUAAAUUGGAGGGGUCACAAAUGGUCCCGCUUAAAACCCAACAACUAGACAGAACUCACUUAGAUAUUUAUAGCAAUAAUAACUAAAUAAAUAUAACCAACAUAAAGCUAUUAAAUAUAAGCAAACAAAUAAGAAAUAAAAUACCAGAGAUUUAACGAGGUUCGGCCAAUUUAGCUUACGUCCUCGGACACUACCAAAUUAAUAUUUCUUCUAGAAAUAUUACAAAGGAGAAGAUUUUGGGAUGAUACAACCAAAGGGGGAGGGGUUCUAUAUAUAACAAACCAAACCCCCUCCCUUUCUAUCUUUUCCUAAUGUGGGAUAUUGCCAAUAUUCAACAAGUGGUAGCAUGUGUUUUGCGUUGCGGUGCUGUUUUGGGUGGGGCCGUAACGUUGAAACAUGAUGCCCACAUCGGAAGGCUUCAAAUCGCCGCCAUUCAAUACUGUAAUGCUGUGUAUAGUAGUACACUGCACAGUACCACAAAUAGGUACUAGAAUUGAUUACAGUAAAUAGGAUUAGGAGUGAAGUCACGGGCAUGCAGGGCUUUUCCCUUUGGUUAAAUGAAACAAAAUAACAUCUUAGCUCCUCUCAAAUAUUAGUUCUUUAAUUUAAAUUUUUGGAACUCUUUGGUAAAAAUAAAGAAGAUUACAUUUUUUACUCCUUUCCAUCGUAAAAAGUUAAUAAUCUACUCUAAGUUUUUUAACAUAAUUUUUUAAGCUUUACCUCCUCUAAUAUUUUGUAUGUUUUUUAACAUAAUUUUGUAAUAAUUUAUUUAUUUUUCUCUUAUCGACGACAGAAUCUUAGCGUCUUCACUUGUAAAGAACGUUAAGAUAGGUGUAGUGAAAGCCAGUGGACGUUAACCACGUGUGCAUGCAAAAAAUAAUAGCUCCAAGUGAUGGAGCCACCACCAAUGGGGAGGAGUGGGGUUAUUAUUAGGUAAGGUAAUGAUACGAUAUAUAUAUAUGACUCACAGGAGUUUUGUUCACAAAGAAAGCCACGUGGCGAACAACCGUUGAUGGAUGGAGGUCCCAAUUUUUAAUCUAUCAAUGUUCAUCAUCACCUAAACCCAAUCACAUCCACGAUCGCACAAUCAUGUUCGUCACUUUACCUUUAUCAAAACCCUAGUCUUAAGUCACAAGUGAUGCACAUAUGUAUGCAAUAGGUCAAAUUUUAUAUAUCUAUUUUUUAAAAUUUAAUCUUUAUAAUUAUCAAUUUUUUGAAAUUUGUAUCUAAACGUUGAAGCCAACGUUUGGAUAAUAUUUUAUAAUUUUUUAUUUGAAAAACUUAAUAGGUUUAAAAUCAGACAGUUUGAUUAAGGUCAAAACUAAACUAGGUUAGUACUAAGUUGUUGUCGUACUAAAAAAAAAACAUCUUCGUUCUAUUCAGAUUUCACCAACGUUUGGAUAAAAACAAAAAGAAACAUUCGUCUUUAACGUAAAUUAGUGUUCAUAUGCACAUAUUUGAAAGAAAUGGAUUUGAAGUUAAAUAAUAAUUAAUUUGGUAGGGGGAAAAUAAAAUAAUUAAAAAAAUGCAUUUGAAGUUAAAAUAAUCAUUACUAUCCUUACAAAGGAGAGCAAUAAAUGCAAAAUAAAGCAGAAAGGUGCUGUUCAUAUGGGAUUGCCAUUAAAUUAUUGUUCUUUAAAAUAAAAUAAAAUCCAAUCACUGUCAAGGUUACUUAAAAGUUUAAUACCACAGCAUGGAAAUUGUGAAAUCUCUUAAUUUAAUUAUUCCGUAAAAGAUACAUACAAUUUCUUAAAUAUAUAUAUACGAAUUUUUUAAAUUUCGAAUAAAAUUUAUCUGAUACACUCGGAUUAGCAGGCGGUUGAUUAGGGUGUAGUAAAAUACUAAAAACAAAUAAAUAUUAAGAAUAUGAUCAUGGAAUUAAUUGAGUUUUAGUUCAGUUGGCAUGAUUGUUGUUAUUUAAUUUUUUUAAUCUUUAAAUAAAAAAAUUACUUAAGCGCAAUUGAAUCCGUAUCCCCAUAAUUAUUACCGUGAACAAUAAACUAAAAUCUCCCUUUCUAAAAAAAUAUAUAUACAUAAAUCAUUUGUUACUUGAUUGUGUAAUACAAUAUCCAUACUUGGUAAGCAGCACAAAUGUAGGUUAAUUAAUGAGGCAUUAAAAUUAGCAAAGCACAUAAACUUGAAUAGAUGUAGGCAUGGCCCUGUCGUUGGUGAGCGAUGAAGCAAAUUGGUGGUGCAAGAGCUAAUUAACAACUCAUAUUAGCAAUGCCAAUUACUAAGAUUAGCACCAAAAUUAAUGUGGAUCCUGACUCAGUUUUACGUGCAUGCUAGCUAGCAACCUAUAUAUCCACGCACCCACAUUGCUCAAAUAAAUUAAAAAGCUGCCCCUUAUUUACAUAUUUAUGCUUAAAUUAUUUACGUUUGGUACUCUUUCUCAACUAAAGUGGUGUCAAUAUUCCAUUACAGUGCAUGUUUUUAAUGGACCAAUCCUCCAACUGCAUUUAAAUCAGUUCCUACCCAAAUUUAGGUAAAAGAAUUAUAAAAAUUUUGUAUUUGGGAGUUGGAUAAUAUUUUAUCUCUUUUACUUAAAAUGGGUAGAGAUGAAUACUUGUUAAGGCCUACGGCUCUCCAAAAUUUUUUAAAGUUUUAGUAAGGUCCCAUAAAAUUUAAUGCUUAGAUAUGCUAUUGAAAAUGGACAGAUUAGACUUUGUACGCUAGAUCAAAUGAAAAACUUUUUACUAUUAAAAACUGACGUGAUUAACGAAAUAACAUGUCACAUGCAUCUUAUAUGGGGUAUAAAAACCAAUUUUUAAUAGUAAAAUAAAUAAAUUUUUUAAUAAAAUAUCAUUCACGUCCAUUUUAUAAUAUAUUGAUUAUCUUUUAAAUAACAUCCUACUCCUCGUCAUUUAGUCGGAAUUUUCAUUUUCCUAUUUCUUCGCACAGAAUCAUUUCAUUAAAUAUAGGCUUUUAAAGCUUUAACCUCAACCAGCAAUAAAUUCAUCAACUUUUCUGUUUGUCAUUUGCUUUCAUUUUCUUUCUUCCUAUUUAUUCAAGCCUAAUUCAAUGAGAGCAAAAAUAAAUAAAGAAAACAUAAUAAUGUUUUUAAGGAUGAAAUUAUGUAUAUGAUGAUAUGUAAAACAUGCACACAUAAGCCACUCGCCUUCUUUUUUUAUAUAUAUAAAUUAAUAAUGAAUGAAUUUGCAGAAACAAAUAUUCCCACUUAGUAUAGUUUAUAUUUUAUAUUUUAUUAUACAGAACGUCCCAUCUCUUGUUUCUCUUCUCUCUUAUACACGCACAAGCCAUAAAGCAAGGUGAUAUACAUUGUACAUAUACAUAGAAACCCCCUCAAAAAACCACCCAACAUUUCAUUUUCUCUGCUUUUCAAACCAGUUUCGAGACCAAAAACAGAAGCUGUUUCACUAUUUCUUUUUCCUCUUAUAUUGAAGAUAUAAUACUGUUCAUUUUUCUUUCCUUCUCUUUCAGUUUCAUCCAUGGAUACUGCUCAAUGGCCACAGGUAGAGAAAGAUCUAUCACCUGGCUAGCUUAGCUGAUCUUCUUCUUCUCUUUAUCAAACUUUUUGGGCUUUUUUUUUUCUUGUUUUCUUUUCCUUUUUGUUUUCAAAGUUGCAAAAGAUGGUUUUUCAUGGCUAUAGAUAAUCGUUGAAAGUCCCCACUCAAAUUGGAUUUAGUUUUUAUCAUUUGUUCUUCAACAAUUUGCACUUUAUCUUUCUCUUUUGCUGAUAUCAAUAUGUAAUAAAAAGUAAAGUAACCCUUUUUUUUUAUAAGUUUAUCUCUGGCUUUGUUAUAAUCUUGGAAAGUGUAAAUCAGUUAACUCCUUUGGUUUUUUCCAUUUGUCUGCUCAUCUUCAUCUUUGUUUGAUUGAUGUUUGUAGGAGAUAGUGGUGAAACCAAUAGAAGAGAUAGUCACAAAUACAUGUCCAAAGCCAACAGGUUUAGAGAGGAAAAUAAGACCUCAAAAAGAACAAGCUUUGAACUGUCCAAGGUGCAAUUCAACAAACACCAAAUUCUGCUAUUACAACAAUUACAGUCUCACUCAACCUAGGUACUUUUGCAAGACUUGUAGAAGGUAUUGGACUGAAGGUGGUUCCCUUAGAAACAUCCCUGUUGGUGGUGGUUCAAGGAAGAACAAGAGAUCAUCUACGUCAUCUUCUUCUUCUAUUUCUACUUCUUUAACAUCAUCCAAAAAGCUACCUGGUUUGGUUACACCACCUAGCUUAUCCCCGUGUUCUACUCAAAACCCUAAGAUCCAUGAUGGUCAAGAUCUCAACCUAGCUUUCCCUACAGCUAGUCAAGGCUAUAGGAGUCUCUCUGAAUUGGUUCAAGUUCCCUUAGAAAACAAUAAUAAGAACCAAAUCCCUAGCUCUUCUUCUUCAUCACCUACUACUUCUCAACUUUCAGCUUUGGAGUUGCUAACUGGAAUCACUUCCAGGGGGUUUAAUUCUUUCAUCCCCAUGCCUGUUCCAGAUCCAAACACAGUGUAUACACCUGGUAAUUUUCCCAUGCAAGAUUUUAAACCAACACUGAAUUUCUCCUUGGAUGGACUUGGAAAUGGAUAUGGGAGUCUCCAUGGUGUUCAAGAGACAACUGGGAGGCUUUUGUUUCCAUUUGAAGAUCUGAAACAAGUUUCCACCACAACUGAUAUUGAUCAACAUAAAGAUCAAGGUGAUUCAACUGGUUAUUGGACUGGUAUGUUAGGUGGUGGAUCAUGGUAAUUAAACAAGAUGGAAAAAAAUUAAUAUGGCUUUUUCUUUUUCUCUUUUUUACUGUUUUUUUGUUAAGGUGGGGGUGACUUGUUUGGAUUUCUUCAUUACUAACAGAAGAUGAUAUACAUGGUUUUCCUUGAUCUCUCUCUCUCUAUAUAUGAUCCCUUCUUUUUUUUAAUUAAUUAUGGUGGGAAAUUUGAAGCUUAUUUUAGGUUGGCUUCACUGAGGGCAUACUAGAAGAAGAUAUCAAGCUAAGCCAAGAUCCUUUUUUAGGGUAAAAAAAGUGUAAUGGUUCAAAAAAGAAAAGCAGAAGGGCAACCCUAUGAAUCCAUUGGUUGGCUUGGUACAAGUACAAAAAAAAUGUAUAAUUUUCAAAGUUUGUAAGGGAUUCCUGGUUGGAGCAAAAAAAAGGCUCUUAAUUUGUUCAUAAAGUUUUUUCUAAUUUUGAUUUUAGUAAACAAAUUGUUGAGUCUCUCAUAUUUGAUAUUUAUUGCUGCAAUGGUGAUUUUAAAUUCUCUCUCUCCCCCCAUAUCCCUUCUUUUAUAUCAUAUGUAUGGUGUCGUCACCUAAGAGAUUAAUAUAGGAGAGAAGCUUAGAAAGAUGAAUUGUAUAUAUAUGUAUGCCAGGUAAGAAAUCUGAUCCUCCCCACAUGCCAUUGUAAAUUUUCGUGUUACCCUGUAAAACUAUAUACAUAUAAACUUGCUUCAAUCCAAACAAAAACUUACCUACUGAUAUUCUCGACGAAAAACCCACAAAUUUUAGACCCAUUUCCAUCGUUGCUUCAAUGCCACCCUCUUCCCCUUUCUUUUUCUUUUUUAUUUUUUUUUUGGAAUUGAAAGAUUGAGAAAGAUCUGACAAAGCCUCCUUUCUUUCGGUCAUGAAAAUGGACCCACAAACAUUCCCCUCGACAAGUGUGUCGAAGAAUAAUACACCCCCCACCUCCCCCACUAAGGUUUUCGAUCAAUCCAGAUCUACACCACCCUUUUAUUAUUAUAUAUAUAUGUGUAUGUAUGUAGGUUCGAUUUUGUUGUAUGCUGUAAUCCACCUUUAAGUUUGUGUAUAAUAUCUGACAGAUAGUGUGUUUAAGUUAAAGCCUGUAUCAACCACCCUUUUGACUCUUAAGUUUAGUUUCUCUUUGAUUUCUCAAGUUAAUGGCUUGUUCAUCAUGGGCUGUUUAUGGAAACCAUAAUAAUCAUGUAGUCUUUUAUUUUAACAUUUUAGUCUAAACAACAAGAAUGCCUGAUGAAAAAACAAUUUUGCUUAAACAAGAAAUUGGGAGCUUUCAGAUUCAAAUGGUUUCUUUACACACGGAAGCUAUUUGUGGAAAACAUCAUGUGGCAAAAAAAUGUGCAAAAAUGGUAAGAUUAUGAAAAAGGGUUUUGCAAUUUAGACAAAACCCAGUUCUUUUUUAUGUAUUAAAAAUGGAUAUUCGAGUUCAUGUAGUACAGCAUAAAUCAAGUGAUUAAAAUAUCUAAAUAUUUACGUGUAUAUUCUAAAUCUAAUGAUCGACUUUAAUUAAAGAACCACUAAAUUAUUAAAGAGAAGUAGUACGAUAAUAGUGUUAUUAAAUUCGUGUUUCAUGUGUUGAACUUAACUUCAUUGAUCCAUCCAUGAUGUCUGAACUAAAAGAACUUUUUAUUUUCGAUUAAAAAAAUGGGAAACUUUUUUUUUCUGUAAAUGUUUGCGUCUGGGAAUGGGGAAAUUUUAGAACAUUAGGUGGGAUGCGAACACAUGGAAAUUAACGUGUCGUGGAAUUCGUUAAGUAAUGGGGGUGGAUUCCUUCAGACAUGAUCUACCAGAACCAGGAGUUUUUGCCUGUACUUAUUUAGCUUGUGAUUCAAGUUACUAUGUGUUUCACUCAAAGGCCUUGGGUGGACUACGAAGUGACUGACCCACUGCCGACACGCGCAUGCCUUUCAACUGUAAGCCUGACCGGAAAUCUUUCCCUUUUUAAAAAAAUUAUUGUGAAUGUUAUAGUUUAAAGAAUAAUGAAUCCGAAACUGGUAUCAACAAAACAAAAGUUCUUUGUCACUCUACCUGUAGUUCACAAAAAUGGCCAUAUCUUGGUUUCCAACAAAGUUGGAGGCUAAUAAAAGAUACUUGUGGCUUAAGCUGGGAGCAAUAUAAGGCAAGAAGAUUAUCUAUAUAGCUUGCAAAGAGAGAAAGUAAAUAGUAUAUAUGAAUGUAUUUUUCCCUGGCUUAAAGGAAGGGAAGGUAUAUUUUCUUAACCUGAUUAAAGAGAAAUGAGAAUGCCCUUUUCAGUUUCAUUAUCUGUACAGGGAUAUUACAAUUAUAUUUGGAAAUUGGGAUCACCCCAGAAUAAUGAAACUUAGUACUUGAAAAACCAGACAUGAAUUCCUUGGCAGUUGUUCAAUGCUCACCGUUGAUUCCGAAUAUACGGACCUUGUGCAUGUUGGGGAACUUUGCAACCACCAGCACAAAUACGGCCAACGUAUUGAAGACGAGCAUCGGGUUUUGAUAAUCUGUUGUAUGUGAGGCGAUAAGGUACCUGGAAAAUAAAAUGUAGGGUAAAUAAGGAUGUGUUAACCAAGAUAAAAGAAAAUAUUAGAGUUAUUGUAUAAUGUCUUGCGAUGCAUCACUUCGAUGUUACUCUUAUCUAAGGUUUCAGAGUCCUAAAAUGUUUCCGUUCAAGAGGCGAUUAAUAAAUAUGGCAGUAGGAAACAGCUAGUUUAAUAUGCAGAAAAGUACUGUCUAGUUUAAUGAAUCAACUGUUGAAUGAUAUGGAAAAGAAUCCAUAAGCAAUUAGUAACAAACAGAAAUUAGUAACCUUUUUCCUUCCAUAUAAAGGUAUGCAUGUAGAAAAGCACAUAAUGUCUAAUCGGGUAUAAGUGCGAUACCCAUGGAGAUUCAUCUUCUUCGCAGAAGGAUGUCAUUGAUAACAAGGAGGUGGAUGACCAAGUUGGAAGGGUAGAAUACGGUUUAAAUCAAUUGCAUGUGAGGAAACUAUCUUUUAUUAACUGAUUCUUUGAAUAACGUAAAUUGACUACAUCCAUAGGUCGUAACAAGAGGCAUUCAUGAGCAUGGCAAAGGUUGAAUGCAACUCACUAAGUAUCUAACAGAAGGCAUGCACCUUAAUCAAAUAAAACAUAAGGGAGACCCACCACAUUGCAUCUUAUACGCUUUAGUUCAGUAAAUCAUCUAUGAAUUAAAAAGCCGCCAUAUUUUUAUUUCCGAUAUUCAGUAUAGGUUUAUAUAGAAGAAAGUGAAUACUUACAGCACAACAGGUACAACAGUCAAAAACUUCCUGUUCCGUGUCAGUUGCUUGCCAUUGUCUAUUUGCUCCCACCAAGUCAAACCGUUGUAGAUACCUUGGUCAUCAGCAAACGGUGUUCCCUUCUUCCAGUGAAAGAAGUGAUAUGUGACCUGAGGCAAGAAUAUGCAAAUCCAUGCACAACAUACUCAUUAAGCAUAGAAUAAAGAGCUGAAAUUUUGAAUACUAUACCAUUUAUUAGUGUUAUAGUGAAGAGUAAAUAAUAAUCAUUUCUUGACCCUGUCUUAUGGUAUAACAAUAACAAGCAAAUCUCUGACUGGAUAUCAUAAUUAGUAAUCACCUGAAAAUGUCUAACAAAUUGUUUCACGUUGAUAAACAGGAAAUUGUUAUUUAGACAUCUAGUAAUUAAACUCAAAGAAACAAACUCUGACCAACUGUAUAGGUGAAAUCUGAGCCUUUCUUCACUCAAGGAAAAGAAACAAAUAGAACUAUCAAAGGGGGCAUGCCAAACAUUAACAAAAGCAGUAAUCACAAAUAUACUAGUUUUAGCUCAUUCUAUUUGCUACCAAGCAAGUGAGUACAUCAUUAAGACUUAAAAUUUUAGAUUUCCAUUCAUUCACGCGUAUCAAACCAUCAAGAAAGCUAGAAAAGUAUUACAGCAGAAUCAUGAAAAGUGAAGACAGUUAGCAACAGCACCAGAUGUUGUCUAAUCAAAUCUCGGAGGGAUGCCUUACUCUAAAAAUGUAAAGGUCAAUUAGCCCUUUACUACCAGCUAAAAAGGUUGACAAACAACCAAUUUAGAAUCAAGAAUCCUAAGCAUUCCAGUUUGAGAAAGUAGGCUAUUGUUCUCAACAUUCUCACAACCACGUGGGUCUAGAAUACCAAAGAAAAAACAGACAACAGUCCAUCUGUUGUAGACAUGCAAUUUAGUAUAUGAUAUAGCAUUUCAAGCCAAUUUGAUACAGUAGAUACACUGAAUUCCCAAAAGAAAAUUCAGUUUAUAAAUUGAAAAGUGAGGGAAAAAGGAGCUUUAAAGAGUUCCAGACCAGCUUAUUCGCUCAUUCAGUUGUAGCUUGUGCUGAAAAUUUUCACCUCCUUAACUAGGUUUAAACCUCCAAAUCUUCAAUAAGCUUAGAGUUAUAGCCUAUAUAGGCAUCUCAAAGGCCAAUAAACUGAUGACAACAACGCAUAAUCAAUUCACAAACACAAGAAACAGAAAGAAUUAAUACUAUAAACAUAUUAUUCGAGUAGUUGUAAUCAAAGACAUAGAUUUCGACUAAGCACUAGCACCAACAAACUCAUAAUUCAAGCUUUCUACAAUUCACCUAUACAAGAAGCUAUUGGGGAACCCGCCAAAUCUCUCUAGUCAAGCAAUAUAGCAAAGCUGGUCCAGAAUAAUAAUCCCCAAAAAUUUUAACCAACGCAGGGGAAAAAAAACUAAUUUCGUCGUUGCUAUAGCUAAAGUCUCAAGAAAUCAUCAAACCCUUAAUUCAAUCCAAAACCCCCCAUCAACAAAAAAAAAAUCCCAAAAGCCGAUCAAAUUAAAACCCAGAUAGGAAACGCAACAAAAACCAAGAAAAAUAUAACUUUUAUGAAUCAAAAUCAAAAGGGGAAAAAGGGCGAGCUUACAAAGAAAUGCGCGAGAUGAACAAUUGUCCAAGCGGUUCCAGCAGAGGUGCCAAAGAGAGAUAAAACGAGGAGCCAUGAAAUGAAAACCAUCAAGAUAUAAGUGGUCCAAACUCCUGGGUACGUGAACCACUCCGUAUUCUUGUUCAGAUCUGUCGUUGGCACCGCUCUCACGUACAUAUUUCACUUUUUUGCUCUUCUCUUCUUCUUCUUCUUGUUUCACAAGUUUUCCUUCUUUCUUAAACAAGCAGAGGUUGAUUCAAGGGUAUAUUGUUACAACUUUGAAUUUUCUUUGUUGUUGAACAAAGGAAGGCUUAAUUUCAAGGUCAAGGAUGAUGAUCGAGGGAGAUGUAGGAUGAUGAUUAUGAUGAUGAUGAUAUUGUCUUUAUUGACGGUGCGGGUUUGGGUUUUUUUUUUCUUUUUUAACCUAUUUAUAAAGCUCCCUCGAUCUGAACCAUCCUUUGUAUUUUCUAUGGCCUAGCUUGGUUGCUUGUCGUUGUCGAAUUAUUUUGCUACAUUACAUAUUUCGGAGGAAUUUUCGGCAAAUUUUCUUUUUGUAGAUAAUGUAUAAAUAUACAUUGUUGGUUUAAUAAAAUGUAGGCAAGGAAUGUUCCAUACAUUUUUAUUUUUUCCUAUGAAAAUAUUAGUGCUCAGAUGCAAGAUUUAGUGGUGAAGAUUGCGGGUGGUGAUUGAUGAUACAUUGUGAUGUUGUAAGUUAUGUAUUUAAGUGUGAGUUUGGAUGGGCGGUGCGUUUACCUGCGGUUAGUGUAAAAACAGCGGUGGCGGUGAGAUUAGAUACUGUAGCGAUACUGUAGCGUGAGACAAAAAGUAAGCUAAACGCACCGCACCGCACCCAAUCGCCCAUCCAAACCCACCCUAAGAAGUUGGACAGAGUUUCGAUAUAUAUCUCAAAAUUUACCGCUUUUUGGUAGUCGAACCGUAAUAGAGAGACUUGAUACAGGUCCUUUUUGCAUAAUUAUCCACAAAAGUUGGGUUACUUUUAAAAUUGAAAAAAAAAAAACUUCAUCCAAAGUAUGGAUAAAAGUGACAUGAUAUGACUUAAAAAAUCGAUUUUGAAAUCGUGAGAUGUGAUAUAAUAUGAUUGUAUCCAUUCGAGGGUCAAUCUUGUCCAAGACAAGCUCCUUCGACCGAUAUUGUAAAUCAGUAAAAGAAACCCCCCUAUGUUGUAAUUUAUGACCAUAACAAGAUGUUAUGUGGUAUGAAGUUCGAUCAUUUAUGUGUUGAAAAUCAUUCUCGUUCUUCAUACCAGAACGAUCUGCAAUUAAUAUUAAACAAGUAAAUGUCGGAACCACAGGCAAGGAAACACGAUGAGUUGGAUCAUGCAGGUGGACCGUUGGUUGUUGGUGUUUGAACUUAGGAAGAAACAAGUUCUCUAAGCAUAAAAAGAUGUCAUAUGUCGGUUCAUCUAACCUCAGACAACAAACGAGAACAUGGCACUAUUUUCUUUGUAGUCUGGUAGUUGCCAAACCAAUAGCAACCGUCGAUGAUCUGUUUACUUUGCCCUGCAAUGGCGGCGCAAGCACCUCAAAACUACAUGGAUAUGAUCAUGUGAAGGGGGCAAAAAAAUCAGAUGAAAUUAAGGAUCAUAUAGAGCUUUUGAUGGUGUCUGAGUUACAUGAGAUGGGGAUUGUCACCAUCUAUUCAUUUUAUAAGUUCAAAUCAUACAACUUGUAAGAAAUCAAAGGCUAAUAGUGGUAUUGCCAACUCUAUCCAAGCCUUCCAUUAAUCUUCUCUUUGCUGACUUGGUUCUGUAACACCAUACCUCGAAUGCCUCGCUCAAGUCAGGAUACUUAAGCUGCUCGGUUUUCAUCCAAUCCGACAGAAUAUCUGCUUGAUCGUUAGAUGGCAAUGCUAGUACUAACGAAACGAUCGCCCCCUCAAUACUUUGGCACAAGUCUUCAUCCAUCUUGUAAGGGAAAUCUGUAUCCUCGUCAGCUUUUGCGUCCAGGAGAGGCUUUAUCUUCCUUAUAUAGGGUAGCCAUGUCUUCAGCAAUUGGACUCGACACGGUGCAGGGAGAAUCACGUUUCCAUAGCCGACAGCUUCCAGAACUUUCCCGGUCACUUCUAUAAGCUUCACUUUCAAAACCCACAUUGCAUUAUCAAGUUUCUUGUCUUCAACUAUCUCCAAAAUCUUUCUAGACAUCUCACCCCAACUACAAACAAAGUCCUUCAUUAAAUCCAUUUUGGGGAGUAUGUUGCACAUCCACUCGACAUCCGAAAGGCACUGUAAAAUUCUAGUCUCGGCGGUCUCGGCUGUGAUGUCGGGAACGAGAAGAAAGGAAGACAACUCGUUUUCAAACAAUGAACAAACUUGGGAAAGACCUGAUUUUACUACUGAUUUUACUUCAUCAUCUGCUGUAACUAAUGGGGUGUCUUCAUCUCCUCCAAGCAUGAACUCCACUUGUUCCUGUGCAGAUCUUUUAAGCUCGUCUCCAAAGGGUGGACAAGAUCCACCUAUUGACGUGGCGAACCGAACUGCAGAAAUAAACACACUCUUGGUAGCACUUAAAUCCAUUGGUUGGAUCCUCGCCAAUAUCGGCAUUGCUACCGGCCCCAGUUUCAAGACUUCUUUUACAAUUUGUUCCUCUUCCUUAUCCUCCCAAGGAACAGCCUCCAAAUACUGGAUGCAGCAGUUUGUAAUGUUUUCACAACGGAAUGCAAUUGCCAAUGGUAGAACACCGAGAGCAGAUUGAACCGAGUCCAAGGAAUCCAAAAGUGAAUUGGUGGGGAGAUACAGUAAUCUCAAAAGGUUAACAUGAUGAUCAUAAGUAGAGUCCGAGCAAUGAAUCUCGAUGCAGGAGCCCGAGCCAGGAUUAGAGAGCCGAUCCGCAAAGAACCUGCUUUUACUUACGAGAACAGAUGAGUGGGAGUAGAACCAUUCAGGCCUUCCUUCGCUGUUUCUCAAGCGUAAAACGACAUCACUCGUACCUUUGUCACCGAAACUGCAAGGCUUGGCUACUGCAGUUAGGUCCAUGUGCAGAGAUAAUGAAAAUGAUAUUCAUGCUUCACAAUUCACACACCUGAAAAAAGCAUUAUUCGAACUUAAGUUCCGGCAGAACCGACACGAAUUCCGGAAGUAUGAGAAUAGAUCUAUCUUCCUCUAUCAAAACAUAUGCUUCCUUGCCCCAAAACAAUACAAAAUCAUAGUAUCCGACAGAGCACAACUAACAAUAAUCUAAACAGGAAAUUAUGAAAUUGUUCGGUUCUUGAGACGUUGAAGCAAGAAUUAAUACCAUAGCCUAGAAAGGAAACCAGUUCAUCAUUUUUUUAAAAAGAGAACUAUAAUAAAUUUUAGGCUUUUUAGCUAUCACUGAGAAGAUGCAAAAUUAGAAAGUUAAGCAUCAUAUUUAAUGAAUAUCAGAACACAGAACAUAGAUUACUCUUUUCUUAAUCCCCAAACCAAUAAGACAUAGAACAUAACAUUCAAAAUCAAUUUUUUUCCUAGGAAACCAAGAAUAAGACAAUAGCAAAUCAAUAAGCAAUUAAAAACAUAAUUAAUAUCACAUUAAUGGGGAAAAAAGCUUCAUAAAUGAUAAAAUCUGAAUUAAGAGAAAUAAAAAAAACUGACCUUUUCAAAUACCCAUAUUGUAUUGAGAGCAGACAUAAAUUUAUCUUAACUUCAACAUAACAAACCUGGUGUUAAGUAAAGAACAUAGAACAGCAGUUCUUUCUCUCCCUUUGGGUCUGGGAAGUGAGUUCUGUUUCAGGUAAUAAAAUGAAAAAGCAUGGACAAACCCAAAGCACCUUUUAAGACAAGUUUCUGAAAUGACGCAACUAGCCUCGUGCUUUGCAUGUUAGAACUUGACAAGUGGCUGGUGGGUGAUGGGGUACCUUACUCUUUUGGGGGCAUUGUAGUUUUAACAAACAUAUAAGGGCAAGAAUGUAAUAUCAUGGCACAUUUAACUAUGGUAUGUGACAAAUGAUGGGUUGAGACUUGAGAGGUGAUAUUAUUUUUGUGGUUUGAUGGAUUAGAUCUUAGAGAUCAUGGUAAAGUUAAUAUCUUUACAUUUAUGGAUUUUUUUAAUAGUUUAAUAUUUAUAAUGAUUAAAUAUAUAAAAAUUAAUAUUUUUAAAUAUUGUAUUUAAAUUUUGUGAAUAAAAAGUUAAUAUUAGAAGAAUUUUGUUUUUAUUUAUAAAUUUAAAUUCAAUUCGACUUUAAAUUUAUCCGAAUUCAACUUAAAUUUAUUGAAGCAAUUGUAUCAAUUUCCCAACAUUACAAAUUUAUUAUGAUGAUGAUAUUUCAGUUCAGUACCUUUUGGAGAUUCGAUAUAUAUUUUUUCUUUAAUUUUGUUGGCUCAACUUGUACAAGUUGCAAGUUUAUGCACAAUUAUUUAAUGCCGUCGGCCAAUUAACCAUAAAAAAGAAAGAACUGAAUAAAAGUAACAUGAAUAAUACAAAUUUUUAAUGGGAUUAGUUAAUUUGAUGGGUUGAAUAAAACAUUAAUGAUUAUUUAUAUCUUUAUUAAAAAUGAUAUAAUAUAAUAUUUUUUUGGAAGGAUAUUUGUCUAUCUUAGUAAUAAAUCUGAAAUUAAAGAUUAGGAGGCCACUUGCGCAAGUUGUAGCUAUGAUUAACCAAUAGCAAUCUAGAAAAGGAAAAAAGCUGCCUACAUUCCAAAGUGAGUGUGACUGUGAUUAAAACAAAAGCUAAAACCAAGUUAUGUCUUGUCCUCACUCCCACAUGUUGUUUCGCUGCAAAUUCCACGAAUAUAGAUGGAUAUUUUGGUCUUGCACUCAAUAUUUGUUAUAUGGAUACGACCAGCCCAAAUGUCAAUAAAUACCACCUCUGCCAGUCAAAUAACCAUUGCAGUAAGGCUUUGGAACACAUGAUUGCAUCACUUACUCUAUGGGGCCUUUGAGUGAUGGUGGUGACGGGGGAAAUGCAUUGUGGGCUGGUAUUUGAAAUAGAGCCCAAUCAAAACUUUCUGAAUCUUUCUAGGGUUUUCGAGCCUUUUUUUGUUUUAUUCAGUUUAUGCAAAUAAAUCAAAAGACCAGGGUCUUUUGAUUUGAAUCAGUUUGGGUUAUUUGAAAGAUGGCGGAAACGAUACGUACAUCAGAAAAACCUUCUAAUUCCUCCUCGUUGAAUCCUCCUUCCCGUAUCAUCUGCCAUGUGUAUGUUCUUCUUCCUUUUCUUCUUCAUUUUUUUGUGAAUUUCAGAUUAUUUGUCCAAUAUUUAUUUAUUUUUCUCAACUUUCAACUGAUUUUGCACAGGUGUCAGAAGCAAUUCUCGCAAUACACUUGCCCUCGAUGUAACUCCCGCUACUGCUCUCUUCCUUGUUACAAGUUAAGGCCUCAAUUUCACGCUUUCUUCAAUCAGAAAUUGGUUUUUUUUCUUUUUUUGUUUAGUUUGUUCUGAAAUGAAACAAAAAGUUUUUUUUGUGUGAUUUUUUUUUACAGUCUCAUAGCAUUCGCUGUACCGAAUCAUUCAUGCGAGAAAAUGUAGUCGAGGAGCUGCGCCAUCUUCAAUCUGACGAUCAAACUAAAUGGAAAAUGCUUGAAAUUCUGAAACGUUUCCAUUCCGAGGACGAAACCGAACCUUUAGAUGAAGAUGUUGAUGGUAUUUUCCUCGAUUUUUUUUUUUUUAUGAUAAUGGGUAUUUUCCUUGAUUUUGAAGUACCUAUAUAUAUAUUUGCUUUGUUUGUUUGCCUAAUAUAAGCCUUGAUUGAAUUACUGUAUCAAUGAAAAAUGUAAUUUGGAUUUUUUUUUAUGGCAGAUUCAAUUCUUUCGGAUGACACUAUUCAGAAGAUUUUGUCAGGUAAUCUUUGGUUCAAAUUCUAUGUAUUAAUUACUGUGAAAGUACUUGUCAAGUCCCUCUAUUAUAGGGUUGGAUCAAAUUAGUCCACUUAUUAUUAAAUGGAUCAAUUUAAUCAUUAUACUAUUAAGAAGAAUUAAAUAAGGCUCAUUAGUAACAUAGUUAUCAUUUAAUGUUUAAAAAAAUUGUCAUGAAAUUUAUUUUUUCAUUUGCAGCUCAACUCCAAAUAGUAGAUUCCCUUUGUAAAACCAUAAGAAGAUUUCAAAAUCUUAACUCUUUUAAAUUAUACACGACAUUUUUUAAACUUUGAAUGUUAACUUUGUUGAAAUUUGGUUUUAUUUGAUUCUUUUUAGUAGUACAGGGACUAAAUUGAUCUGUUUAAUAAUAGAGGGAUUAAUUUGAUCAGGUCCCUUUAAUAGAGGGACCUGCCAAGUACAUUCACCUUUUAAUUACAUUGAUUUGUCUUAUGAAUUUUGUGUUAAUCUAUGCUUGAACAUAAAUUUCUGUUGUUUCUUUUUUAUGUAGGAGGUGAAGUUAAUAUCAAUGAUUUAUCCCUUGAAGAGAAGAAACGGUUCCAAAGAUUUUUGGCAUCUGGAGAAUUGAGUAAGAUGAUUGAGCCGUGGGAUCCUUGGUGGUUAAAGCCUGCUGCCAGAACAAUCUGUUUAAGCAAGGAUGGAGCUCAACUUAUACAACCUAUGGCCAAUCGAGAAGAUCUUGAAAGCGACCAACCAAGCGAUAUUCCUUGUGGCCCCAAAACUCCACUUCCUUCGCUUCGUAUGCUCAUUUCUACGGAACCAUCUCCACUCUUAGCUGUUCAUUUGGUUGAUAUCAUAUAUAGUUACUGCUUCACGCUUCGUGUCUACAAUGGAGAUUGGCAAUCGGAUGCUGUAGGAUCAGCAAUGGUGGUAUUGAGUAUAUCAUCUGUAUUAGGUCAAGCUGGACAGCCUGAGACUGUGCAGGAAGCUCUGUGUUAUUGCUUGGAGCAAACCUGCUCUCCGGCUUACCGGCACAUCGGUGGUUUGCAAUUUGGAUUGGCACUUGUUGAUGACAUAACAAACCUACUUUCCCUUGGAAGUCCUGCGUUGAUCUGUAUGCUUUGCGAUCUACAAAGGAUGAUUAUGGCUGCGGGAAGGGAGUUGAAAUCCGAGAAACAAAGAAAGCUGAGGAAGUCCGAAACGAAAAGCAAGCUGAAACUUGCUGAGAGGAAGGUUUAUUUCAUAAUGUGUUGGGUUCAUGAGCAACCGAACAAAGCAUUGUCUUCUUUGGCAGCCAUUGUGAGUGCAGAAAAGAGUUCAUUGAUGGAAUAUGGAGGCAAUAAAAGUUUUUCCAGAACAGAGAAGAAUGCAGCAGGAAACAAGGGCAAAGCCUUGAUAGAGGAAAUGUAAGGGUGUUAGUUGCUAAAAUAACCCUUUUUUUUAAUAAUUUUCAAUAUGGGAAUUUUGUUGUACAUGUACGUGAACAUUUCUGAUGUAUAUUUAAUUCAUAUCUUAGAGGGAUACUAACCAAAACAGAGUAUCAGUAUCCAUCCAUGUAGGUGUUCCAUAAUGUGCUUUUAGCUUAGCAUUCCCAAUUGAUAUACUCUGUUUUAAAAAUGUGAUGGUAAAUAUAUUAGAAAGUAAUAUAGAUUGAAAAGGCCUAUUUGUUGUUGGGCAAUAAAAGGAAAGCACCGAACGACGUCGUUGCGAAAUCUAUUAAUUUCACAGCGCAUUAUUCAUUUCAGGCGGUUUUAAAAGGUCUAAUUCUGUCACCUAACCUUUUUCUCUUCGGGUUUUAGAAAUUUAGUCCUUGCCCCAGGUCUUUCAGUCUUUGUACAUUUUUCCAACUACCAUCUGUUUUUAGCUUGUACCAACCAACCUUCGGACUCUCCCAAUACAACAGCAUUUCAUGCUUCAGUUGAGUUGGGUUCUAGCUUCCUUGAAGGUGAAAAAACUCCUUUUAAGUGUGCAAAAUAACUAAAAUUAAAAAGUCCAAAGAGUACAGGGACUAGACACAGAAUUAAACCUUUUAAAAAGAAUCAAAAGCCAAUGGUAGUUACGUAAUUUCGAACAAGUCUGUCGUCCAAAUAUCUGUUACGAUCCCCUAAAGCAUUUGAACCGAUCUUCUUCAAUCCAUAAACCCUUCCCUCUCUAUUUUCCCCUUAAACCAACCAUCCAAAUAAAUAGAAAUUAAAAGAAAAAACCCGAAGAAAAUUCCCUUGCCUCGGAUUGUUCUUCGUCCUUCCUUUCUCUGUCAGAAAGAAAGGAAAAACCCUAAUAUUUUUCAUUUUGUAAAUUCUGGAGAAAUGGUUGAUGUAGCCGAUAAAUUGGCAUGUUUUCAAGCGGUGACGGGCCUCGAAGAUCCCGAUUUGUGUACGGAAAUCCUCCAGGCUCAUGGUUGGGACCUCGAACUGGCUAUCUCUUCUUUCACCUCUUCCAAUCAAUCCUCUGCUUCCACCAUUACCUCCGAUUCUGACCCUCGCGAUUCUCUUGACCCCACCCAAUACGCAUCCAGUUCGGGUCUCGUUCCCGCUCCUAACCCCAGCAUAGCUUGGAAACUCGUUACAUUGCCCUUCUCUGUGAUAUCCGGUAGCCUAGGGUUAGUCUCUGGAGCUGUCGAGCUUGGAUUAUGGGCCGCCGGCGGAGUUCUUUCGUAUUCCCUUGGGAUGAUCGGCCUGGGACAGGGGCGGGGCGGGGAAUCAUCGGCACGAUUGGUCUCGGUCUCAGCUGCGGCUUCUGAAGCUAUGGAAUUCGUGGCGGCAUUUGAGAGAGACUACCCGACGACUAGGCCGAAUUUCGUCGGUGAGGGUUUCAUGGACGCCUUGCAGAGGUCAAGGAACUCCUUUAAGCUGUUGUUUGUGUACUUGCACUCGCCGGACCACCCGGAUUCUCCUGUAUUCUGUGGAAGGACCUUGUGUUCCGAGGCAGUGGCUGCCUUUGUGAAUGAGAAUUUUGUGGCGUGGGGCGCCGACAUUAGGGCUAGUGAGGGUUUUAAAAUGAGUAAUAUCUUGAAGGCAUCUAGGUUCCCAUUUUGUGCCGUGGUUAUGCCUACUACGAACCAGAGGAUUGCACUCCUUCAACAGGUAUCAACAUUGUGAUUCUCGCUUCUAUUUUGAAUUGUUAAUAAUGCAAUAAGUUAAUGUUUUUGGGAACCCGAAAUCAAUUAGAUAUCCUUUUGGCAAAAGCAGAAACUGAAAAUGACCUAUUAUCGUUCAUGCUUUAGAUAUUUUUUCGUAAAUUUUUGUGCAGUUGACCACCUGCUAGGGGUUAAAUGGGUAAAACUCAGGGAUUUCAUUCUAAUUCUUUGUCAUUGUGCUUCUGCUGAGCAGAAAGUUUAGAUGUAAGUUCUUGCUAGUUUUGUUUUGCUUGUUGGUAAAUGCCUUUGAAUACGGAUUUUUGGGUGGGCACUGAAGUUUUGACAUGGCGAAUAGCUAGGCGUAUGAGUUCUUUUUUUAAAGCCUGAAAAUGCUGAAUAAGUCAUCUUCUUAAUGAUUUAUUAAACUAAAGCUUAUCUGAUUUUCAGUACGCCUACCAGUUCUUUACAGUUUGUUAUAAGGCAUUUUGUGACUUAUAUCGUGCUACAAUUGGGCUUUGCCUUUUUAGUUUCUUUACAUUAAAAUGCAGCUUUUGCUCGAAUUGUGCCUUCAUUCCAGACUACUACAUAUUAAAUUCAUUUGACUAUUGUUUUUAGUGAAUUGAUUGGACUCUUUAAUAGCAUUCCUGUUUCACAUAUUUUUAACUUUAGGUCAGCAUAAAAUAAUGGAACUAAACCAGCCAGUCACACCAGUUCAACUGUGAACUGGUGGCCUAUCUAGUCCAGUACUUUAUAUAACUUUUCUGAACCAGUAAAACCGGUUUAAUUGGUGAUCUUGCAUGGUGAUGCUCUCUUUCUUUGCAGGUUGAGGGACCAACAUCUCCAGAAGAAAUGCUCACGAUGCUGCAGAAAGUGCUUGAAGAAAGUUCUCCUGUUCUUGUUGCUGCAAGACUGGAUGCAGAAGAGAGAAGAAACAACAUGCGUUUGAGGGAGGAGCAAGAUGCUGCUUACAGAGCAGCACUUGAAGCUGAUCAAGUAGGCUGCUUUUAAUUUUAAAUUAGUGGCUUUAAUACAGUUUACUACAUAUUUGGCUAGAUGGCAUACUCUAGUUUCUUUUUCCUCAUUACUGCCAUUAUAUUCCAAGAAGACUGAAAAAGGAAAAUAAUAAUCCCUUCUUUGCUUACUAAAUGUAUUUGUGCUUUAAAAAGCACCAUUGGAAUGAUAAAAUAAUAGCCUGACUAAUCUUUUCAUUUUAUUCAUGACAUUAGGCUAGAGAACGCCAGAGGAGAGAGGAGCAAGAACGUCUGGAAAGGGAGGCCGCCGAAGCUGAACAGAAACGGAAGGAAGAAGAAGAAGCUCAUGAAAGAGCAGCACGUGAAGCUGCUGAAAAAGAGGCUGCCCGGGCUAGAAUGCGAGAACAAAAAGCCUUAUCACUUGGUGAUGAACCUGAGAAAGGACCAAGUGUUACACAGGUAAUUUCAUUUUUCUUGCUUUCUUUAUGGUUUAGGCACUUUUAUCAUCUCAGUUCUAAUGAUCAUUCUCCAUCAUCCUUGCAUUUUCCACUUUUCUGCAUUGGCAUGCCUAAUACUUCUCCGUUGCCAAAUUAAAAUUAAACAUAUGCAUGUUGUGUUGGGAAAACAGGUAUUGGUACGGUUUCCCACAGGUGAACGCAAAGAAAGGAGGUUUCACAGCACGGCAACAAUCCAAUCAGUUUAUGACUAUGUUGAUUCAUUGGGUUGCUUAGAAGUUGAGGAUUACAGCCUUGUGUCCAACUUUCCUAGAGUUACAUAUGGUCGAGAUAAGCAAUCCUUGAGCUUGAAAGAAGCAGGAUUACAUCCUCAGGCCAGCCUUUUUGUGGAGCUAAACUAGUCUGAACUGAAGAAGGCUUGAUACUUGUCAUGUUGUAUGAUCUUAAAAGUUUUCUGCAAUUACUGAAGUAAAUAUUUUUAAUAUGCUUCUUGUUUCUAGUUUCAACAUAAUCAGCGAACCAUAAUUUGAGAUAAAGAUAGCAGGGACUCUGAAUUCUAUAAGAUUCGCUCGAUCAACCAAAUGGCCAAAAUUUUCAUUUCAAUCAACCACUAGUAUGUAGAAUUAUUAAAAGUUUAAAGAAAUGUUCAUGUAUUUUUAUUUUUAUUUUUUUUGAUUUUUUAGAUUUCAAUUAAACAUGCAGCGUUUUUCCUAAUUCCAUUUAUCAAAUAAUUUUUUUUUAUUAUGUCGUUUUAUUUAUUUUUAUGAGAUUUCUUUUAUACGAUUUAUUUGUUCUAAAAUUACUUUUUAACAUUUAUGUUCUUGUAACAAUCUCAGCUAUUAAGUUUGUAGCAAGUCAGUUAACUCAUCGUGCUUUUUAGAAAUAUAUAUGUAUAUAUAUAUCUUUAUUGAGAAGUCACAAUUCCUUUAAAGACAAAAUGAGAAAUAUAGAAGGAUUAGAAAUCGAUCAAUAAAAUCGUUGCGAGUGUUCCCGCCUGUAAUCCAGGUGACCCGGGUUCGAUCCCCGGCAACGGCGUAUUUUGCCGAAAUUAUGGACCUUUUUAUUAUUUCUAGAAAUUUGCACAUCCGUUAUAACGAAGGAAACAAAAUUGAAAAUAUGAAACGCUAAUGAAGAAAAUAAAACUAUGAUGGUCAAAGAAAGUCAUUGGGAGAGCAAGCAAAUAUAAUUAUGGUUGUUAUAAUAUAUAUAUAUUAAAAAGUAAUUACGAGAGCAAAUAAAAUUAGGAUGCAUUGGGUUGUUGAUAUCUCCAUAACGUGUAUAUUUCAUUUUCACACUAAAAAAAAAUAUUUUUAAUUUUGUGCUUUCGAAACAGUUCAUAGUAUGCGAAUAGCGGAGAAAAUCGUUUGGUUGGAAGUUAAAAAUGAUAAAGAUCCGUCUAUCCGAAAACACAGGUACGAAUUUAGUCUAGGAUUUAUUGCUAUAAAUAUUACAAAUUUGAUCGAUUUUCAAAAUUUUAAUUUUCGAUAUGCAAGAAAAUUAUUUUCGAACUAGAUUUUUUUUAUCGAUCAAUUUAUUUAUAAUAUUUCUCCAAAUUCUAUAUUUAUAGAUAUAAAAAGUAAAAACAAAAUAAAUUUCUACUUCUAAUGAAUUAGAGUCGUAAAAUACAUCAAACUUAUAUUGAUCUUGAUGGAUGUCCACUUACUGAUAAGAUAUCUAUAACAAUGAUUUAUUUAUUUGUGUUUUUUCUAUUAGUGCUUAAUUUUUUUUAGGCUUAAUCCACAAGUUGGUACAUAAACAAUACAAUUUUUUCCAUUUAGUACUUAAACUUUUUUUUGUCACAAGUGGUACCUAAACUAUCUUUUUUUCCAAAAUUGGUACAUCCAUUAGUCAAACUGUUAAGUCUAUUUUAAAAGAGGCUUAACUCACAAAUUGGUAUCUAAACUAUGCCUUUCUUUCUUUUUUUUUCCAUUUCGGUACCUAAAUAUUUUUUUGGUCACAAGCAAUACCUAAACUAUUUUUUUUCCAAAUUGGUACCUUUGUUAGCUUAAUUGUUAGUUAAACUGUUAAAUUUUAAGAAAAAAGAUAACCAAUUAAAAAUUGAUGUAGCAAGAAAGAUAAAAAAAUAUAUAAUUUUCUUUUACAUAUAUAUUCUUUUUUUUAUUUUUUCAAAAUUAGACCAAUAGUUGAACCAAUCAAGCCACCAAGUCUCGGUUUGAUCAGUUCAUCUAGCUCAGUUAAAUAAAUUAUUAAAUAUUUAUAAAAUAAUAAAAAUAGAAAAAAUUAGUUCAAUUGCUUUUAUUAGCUUGGUUCAAUCGGUUUGUAUUGAUUCACGAGUCAAUCGAUUCAAUCCCUAUCGGUUCUCGAUCUAGCUUUUCGACCUCUUCAAGUAGAGCAAGCAAGCAAUGAAAUUCAAAAAUAGAAUAAAUCGCUAAUGCCUCGACUUCAAAAGGAAAAUUUUCGAGCAUUGUCAGCCAAUAUAAAAGAUGAAGAAUGAAAAGAAAUGAGAGAGAAUGUAAAAUAGAAAAAGGAAAAUAAAAAAAAAUUUAAAAGUAGUUUUUUAAGUUUAUAUGAUAUCACGAUUAUUUAUUGAUUGUCAUAUUUUUAACGGAUAUAAAAUUUGGUAUAAAAUAAAUAACAAAAAAAUAAUUUAAAUAUUAAUUAGUGGGUUAAGCUCUUUUUGAAAUCGAUUAAAUGGUUGACUAACGAAUGUAUUUUCUUUUUUAAGUACAGAGAAUUUGGUUAAGUUGAAAAAUAUGGACCCGUGACGGUGAUCGACAAAGCGCAGUAAAGCAAAGCAAGAACAAUUGAUGCCAAAAAAAGUAGAGAAAAAAAAAAAAAAACUCAGAUUUCCAACUAGGCGGAGCGGGGGAUCUUUUUUCUACUUUCUUUCAAAAAUCCGAACUUUAUGGUUUGCCACGCGCGCAAUCUCACUCGUUUCACGGGCCUUUCGCUUUUACCUUUUUAACCAUAUGCACCAGUAACCGCCAUAGUCUUUUAUUUUUCUUUUUCUUUUGCCUUUAUAUAAAAAUUAUUAAAAAACAAUUUAUUUAAAAUAUUAAAAAUAUAGAAAAUUAUUUAAAGGUUUUGAGCCUUUAAUUUCGGUAACAAGAAAAUUAUAAGUUUGAAGUAUAUGAAGGAAAUUGAUGUUUUAUAAUAUUUACAAGUAUUCUAUAUUUUUAUAAAAUUGUAGAAGUUUUUAAAAUUUAUUUAAGAAGCUUUUAAAAUUUAUUUGAGUAUUAUAAAUAAUUCUAAAAAAUUUAAAAUAUUACUCCUUUUAUAAUUUUUAAAUUUACAAGUUUUUUUAUCAUUUUAAUAAUUCUUAUAUAACUUUUUAAUAGUUUUUAAAUAUUUUAAAUAAAUUUUCUAUAAUUUCUAAAAUAAUAUAUAAUAUAUAAUUUUAUUUUUUCCUAUAUUUUUAUGAUUUUCUAAAAUUUUAUAAUGUUUUAAUUUUUAACCUUAAAUGCUGAAAAAUCCUCGUAAAAUAAUUAUAAAAUCAAUUAAAUUAGUACAUCAUCAUUUUUUUCAUGUCAAACGCUAUGUUAGCCGUCACAUAAUCAUUUAGCCGUCAUAUUAUCACUUAACGAUCAUAAGAAUUUCAACGGAAAAUUAUAUUUCAGUAACUCGAUUGAUUGCUAAUUUCCAAUUAAAAUGAUAAUUUUCAAUUAGGAUUUCAAUUGAUUUUUAAUUAUUUGACAAUAUUUUUUAAAUAUUUAAGCCUUUUAAAAAAUAUAUAAUCACUUUUAAUUAUAUAUUCGUUAAAAUGAAUUGAUUUGAUUAUUUAAUUAAACUGAUAUUGGACUAAAAGUAGUAAAUAAGCCUACUACUUAUUAAUUAAUUCUAGCUCGUUAUAUAAAAUAUAGAUUAAUAGUCUAUAUAAUGUAUAUAAAAGUAAAAUAAAAAAUAAAAAUCACGUAAGCUUAAACAAAUUUUUAGAUCUAUAAUUUAAGUCGAAUUUAGACAAAUAUAAAAUAUAUUAAUAUCAUAUUUAAGUUUAAUUUAAAUCCGAUUAAACUUAACUUAUGAAUACCCCUAACUGUAAGCAUUAUGUGGCUCUUUUACCCAAAUAGCCCAAAAAAAUAUUAUAUUUAUAAAAAUAACCCAGGUUUAAAAACAAUCACCAGAAUAACCUAAAAUGAAUAGUACCCACUCUUUUUUUGCACCAAUGAUUGCCUAAUCAUUGUGUCAGACUUAAAAAAAUUAUUUUUUUGGGUUUUGCCUGUCAAUGGUCGGAACCCAUGUAUUUUUUUAAAAAAUUAUAUAAUACUGAUAUACGAAAAAGAAAAAAAAAAGAAAAAAAAUUUGGGUGCUGGCCUUUCAAUGGCCGGCACCCAGUGAACAGUAAAAAAAAUUUCUUUUUUUUUCGUGUCAGAAUCAGAUAUAAAAAUACGAAAAAAAUAAUAAUAAUAAAACUUUUUUGGGUGCUGGCCUGUCAAUGGCCGGCACCCAGUGAACAGUAAUUUUUUUUUCGUAUCAGAAUCAGAUAUAAAAAUACAAAAAAAAUAAAUAAAUAAAUAAAAUUUUUGGGUGUUGGCCUGUCAAUGGCCGGCACCCAGUGAACAGUAAAAAUUUUUUCCGUGUCAGAAUCAAAUAUAAAAAUAAGAAAAAAAAUAAAAAUUUUUUUGGGGUGCUGGCCUGUCAAUGGCCGGCACCCAGUACACAGUAAAAAAAUUUUAUUUUUUUUCGUGUCAAAAUCAGAUAUAAAAAUACAAAAAAAAAUUAGGACUUGGGGGAAUUUAAUAUACAAACUAAAUUCUAAAUUUACAAAAAAUAUAUAGGACUUGGAGGAUUUUAAUUUUGUAAUAGUAAAUAGGAGGAAAUAGAAAUUUUUUUUAUUUUUAUCGUAUUUUUAUAUCUAAUUCUAACACGAAAAAAAAGAAAAAAAAAAUUUACUGUGUACUGGGUGCCGGCCAUUGACAGGCCAGCACCAAAUUUUUUUUUAUUUUUUUUGUAUUUUUAUAUCUGAUUCUGACACGAAAAAAAAAAGAAAAAAAAUUUUACUGUUCACUGGGUGCCGGCCAUUGACAGGCGAGCAUCAAAUUUUUUUUUUUCGUAUUUUUAUAUAUGAUUCUGACAUGAAAAAAAAAAGAAAAAAAAAUUUAUUGUUCACUGGGUGCCGGCCAUUGAUAGGCCAGCACCAAAAAAAAAGUUAAAAUUUUUUUUCGUAUUUUUAUAUCUAACUCUAACACGAAAAAAAAAAAUUUACUGUUUACUGGGUGCCGGCCAUUGACAGGCCAGCACCCAAAAAAAAGUUUUUUUUCUUUUUCGUAUAUCAGCAUUAUAUAAUUUUUAAAAAAAAUACAUGGGUUCUGGACAUUAACAAACCAAAACCCAAAAAAAUAAUUUUUUUAAGUCUGACACAAUAAUUAAGCAAUCAUUGAUGCAAAAAAAGAGUGAGUACUGUUCAUUUUAGGUUAUUUUGGUGAUUGUUUUUAAACCUAAAUUAUUUUUGUAAAUAUAAUAUUUUUUUGAACUAUUUAGGUAAAAGAGCCGCAUUAUGUAGUAGUGGUAUGAUACUACCUGCAGGGCUAAUCAAAAGAACAAACCCCUUCGCAGCCUCCUAUGCCAAGUUAGCUAGAUGAUUCGCAUGUUUGUUGCCUUCUCUAAGAACAUAACGCACUUCUACAACCCAACUCGCAUGCUAAUCAACAAUGAGUCGUGGGAUUCCAAGACUCUUGGCCAACCGUAACCUAACAACACCUUCACAACUCCUAAAAAAUUAAUUUUAAAUGUUGUAUUUUUUAUUAAACCUGAAAUUAAAAUUUUUAUUUAUGUUAAAUUAUUUAAUUUUAAAUUACAUUUUCAUCGAUAAUUCAAUAAUAUAAAACUAAUAUGCAUUAAUAUUCAACAUUUAAAUAUAUUCAUUCAAUUAAAAAUUAAACGGAUAAAAUCAUUUAUAGUACAUGUAAAUUUAAAAAUUAAUAAAUAUAAAAUGAAACUACAUUAAAAUUUAAAUGGUAAAAACUUAAACCUAGAACACAAAAUUUUCAAAAUUUUAAUUUUAUCAUUUCAAUCAAAAUUUCAUUUGUAAAUUAUAUACUUAUACAUUUUUUUCACGCACAUCAUGUCAACUUCUCAUAAUUUAAUUUAUAUGAAAAUCUAUAGGUAAAAGUAUUAGAGAAGCCUAUGUACUUAGAGGCGGAUUGCAUUUCGAUCCCUCUAUUGAAAAAUGCAUAAAUUAGUCCUUAUAUAUAUAUAUCUAUAUAAUUUCUCAAGGUAUCUACGGAGCGAGCCCAGUAACUAAUGGUAGUAGAUGUUGGCCACGAGUUUUAAAAUCCCUCCAUACCUAAGGCGAGGAUCAAACCCUCACAAUAACUAAAAUAUCAUUUUGAUUUCUUAAAAAUUUUCUUAACAAUAAUUCUAAUAAAAUAAAAUUUAUUUUUUAAACAAAUAUAGGCAAAAAAAAUUAAAAAAAUAAAAAAGUUACAUUUUAAAAAUUAAUUAACUACAGGGAAUUCCUGAUGCUUUUACCAAAUCUAUAAUUCUAUAUAUAUUUUACUUUAAUUUAAAAAAUUAAAGGAAAAUAUUCCUUGGUAACAAAGACUUCUAUGUAUUUCCAGCAACUUGGUGCAUAGCAAUUAAAAUCCAAGUAAUUGAUUCCUUUUAAAAAACUCCAACCUCAGCCACACUCUCCUAAACAUGCGCGUGUGAUUCUUCUACUUCCUUAUCCCCAUAUGCCGUUGCCGAUAAUGAUACAUCCGUUUAUGCUUUUUUAUUUGCCCUUUUAAAUUAAAUUACUUCCCUAGGCCCUUUCCUUUUCCUUCUUUUUUCUCUCUUUUUCUCUCUCUUUUUUUGUUUGAUAAAACUCAUCUCUUUUAAUCCUUAGGACUCCAAAUUUCCCAGUGAUUAGGAUUCUUGGUGUCUCAGAAAAAUUCAGAAAUCUCUUGAAACCUAAAGCAAUUAGGGAAUAAUUACAAUGCGGAUAGCAUUAUGCGGGGAGAAUUUGGGAUUGGUAUAAAAAUGAAGAGAAAAUCGAAUCCAGGGAGAAAUAGCUUUAUGGAAUUGGAAUACCCGGAGAUUGAAGAAGAUAUGCGUUUGUUCGUUGCCUUCGGAUGCCGGUUCCGAUUCCGAUCGGCAUUCGAUUCCUACUCUGUGGCUUGUGAAGCGUUCUCUGAAAAACGACAGCAGAUUCUCUCCUCUUCUUCUUCUUCGCAUCUAAUCGGUGUCAGGCUUCAUCUCUAAUAGCGUUUUCUGCAAUUUUUUUUUCUUUUGGAGUUUUUCUUGUUUUUCUUUUUUUUCGAGGGUCUUCUUUUUGGCUGUUGUUGUUGGAAUUAUCGAUCGGGUUGCGGCGGCGGUUGGUUCUUUGUACAUAGAAAAAAUGGAGGUGGCUGAUGACUGUGAUUUCGCUGAGAAAGAUCCGUCGGGUCGGUAUGUGAGGGUAUGUUUUCUGGCUCCGAAUCCUGUUUAUAUAUAUAUUGUUCGGUUUCUCUUUGUUAGGGUUAGUAUCUGUUUGGUUGGCAAGAAACUUGGAAGGGAGCUAUUUAACUUAUAUUUCUCGAAUUCUAAUGGAAAUUGUGGGAAUUUUUAUAUGAUAAUCAAAUACUGCGUGCUGAUUUAGUAAAAAUAUUGUCAAAUUGCGGUUCAAGGUGAGAUUGUCAUCAAUUUCUUAGUAAGCAAACAGCGUCAAGUUUGAGUAAUGGAAUCAAUUGUCUAGAAUUUAACCACCUUUGGUUAUAGCUUAGCUUCUACUUAGCUAAUAAUUUGUAAAUAUUUCUUCUUUAGCUAUUUUUACCGCUCUUGUAAGUUACUUUUUCUUGCUCUAGUCAUUGUUGAGAAAAAAAGGGAAUUAAUUGCUUGUUAUACUCCCAUUUUAGUGAACAAUAUUAAGCAUGAUACAUAUGCAUGACCAACCAAAAUGCCGAUGUUAUUCAAGAUAUUCUGAAAUUAUUUAUAUUUUCUUAAAUAGUUUGUUUCAUUAGAACUUAAAUUAGUUUGCACUUUUGAACGUAGUGUUACAAUUUUCAUUUUUUUUAUUUGCUUUAUUUUUAUUUCCUCAGUAUGAUGAGGUCCUAGGGAGGGGAGCAUUCAAGACUGUGUAUGGUUCCAAGACCUAUCUUCUUUGAAUUUGAAUAACUUUGAUAGGACUGUCUGUUUGAUUGUUUUUCCUGGUUUGGCUGCUACAUUGUUGUUUGUAGUUACAAGGGAUUUGAUGAGGCUGAUGGAAUAGAGGUUGCAUGGAACCAAAUCAAUGUUGAAGAUGUGUUGCAGAAGCCUGAGCAGCUCGAAAGACUAUAUUCAGAGGUUCAUCUUUUGAAGUCAUUGAAGCAUGUAAACAUUAUCAAGUUCUACGAUUCCUGGGUGGAUGAUAAAAACAAGACCAUCAACAUGAUAACUGAGUUGUUCACUUCGGGGAGUUUGAGGCAGUGAGUUUUGUGAAUUGUUCUUUUCCCAUUCUUUUCUGCUUGGUGUUGUCAUUCAUCUCUGAUAUGCUGAGAUUUGCUUUCCUUUAGAUACCGUAAGAAGCAUAAGAAUGUUGAGGUGAAGGCUAUUAAGAGCUGGGCACGGCAAAUCCUUAGAGGGUUACACUAUCUGCACAGUCACAAUCCUCCAAUCAUUCAUAGAGAUUUAAAAUGCGAUAAUAUAUUUGUUAAUGGAAAUAAUGGAGAAGUGAAGAUUGGAGAUCUUGGAUUGGCAACUGUCUUGCAGCAGCCCACCGCCCGAAGUGUAAUUGGUACUUCAUUUUCCCAAAAAUUAGUAACAGUGACUUCAUCUAAAACCAUUUUGGCCUUAGCAGGGAGAAAAACUUAAACCAAUUUUGUUUGAAACUUGUAAUGCUUUGUUAUUUGUGCAGGCACUCCUGAAUUCAUGGCUCCAGAGCUUUAUGAUGAGGAGUAUAAUGAGCUUGUCGACAUAUAUUCUUUUGGUCUGUGCAUAUUGGAGAUGGUUACUUGUGAAUAUCCAUAUAAUGAAUGCAAAAAUCCAGCGCAAAUAUACAAGAAAGUUACCUCUGUAAGACAACCAUCUUCAAUACUUUACUUCUCCAUAAUUCUGUCAAGCGAUCAUUUAACCUCUCUCAACGUCAUUCACUGCAGGGUAUUAAACCCGCUUCCCUUGGUAAAGUGAAUGAUCCACAAAUUAAGCAGUUUAUCGAGAAGUGUCUUCUUCCAGCAUCUAUGAGAUUGCCAGCUGCGGAACUCUUGAAAGAUCUGUUCCUUUUGGCUGAAACUCCCAAGGAGCCUGCCAGUGGUCCACCAGUGAACUUGAUCCAGACUGAACCUCAUCUGAUGGAAAUAGAUCUCAACUGUAAAAUGCUUAUGGUCAAACCUUCUACUGAAAGCAUCAAAGAAACUCCUCGGUUCUCAGCUCUGGAGCUACAGUCUUUCACUCAGAAUAAUGAAUUUAGGUUGAAAGGGGAGAAGAAUGACGAUAAUACAAUUUCAUUGACCUUGCGCAUUGCCGAUCAAUGUGGUAAGUGAAUCUGCUAUAUAAAGUGUCUUACUCUCUUCUUUUUGUUUGGAAAAAAUAAAGAAAAAGAAUUAUGUAACGGUUUGUCUUUGAACAGGUCGAGCAAGGAACAUCCAUUUUUCAUUUUAUCUGGAUUCAGAUACUGCUAUUUCAAUUGCUGAGGAGAUGGUUCAACAACUUGAUUUGUCAAAUGAAGAUGUAACUGCCAUUGCAGAGUUGAUUGAUAGCAUGAUCAUGAAGCUUGUUCCCUGCUGGAAACCUUCAGUUGGAAGCAUUUCAUGCCUACAAGAUUGCUUAUGCUACCCGAGUCAGGCCACUAUUAAGACAGUUGGUGAACAAGAAGUUUUCCCACGGUUGGCUGUUCUUAACUGUCAAGACACCGAAGAAUCUUUCGGUUCAGAUAUAUCAGCUGAAUCUAAUGGAAUGGUGGCCUCAGAUGGUAGUAACAACAAACCAAUGGGAUCUUCUGAUCACAGUUAUGUUGAGUGCUAUAACGGUUUGAACGCAUAUGAUUUUGGUUUAGAUAUUGGGGCUUAUAAUCAUAAAGAUACCAGUGACGAGAAAAACCUCAGGGAAUAUAUAGCGAUAAAACAUUCCGCAAAGAACUCUGACACUUCCUUAAUGGAUUCUUGUUCAUUUGCUUCACAAGACAUGAGCUUGUCAAGCAUCGGCUCUCUAUCCCUUGCAGACAAGGACAAGAUGGAAGAGCUGAAAUUGGAGCUUGAUGCGAUAGAUUCACAGUACCAGCAAUGCUUCCAAGAGCUCUUAAGGAUGAGAGAAGAAGCAAUGGAAAACGCCAGGAAGAGGUGGAUAUCAAAGAAGAAAGUAUCUGUGAUGUGAUGUACAAAAUCUUUUACUUGCUAACCAUCGAGUUUUUUCUCCUCUUCCCUUAGCUUAUGAUAGUUGCUUUUUUUUUUUCGGCUGUUGUUUGCAUUGGAAGAUCAUUUUCUUUGACAAAAUUUCAUUUAUUUGGUUUAUUUUCAGAUAUGGGAUUGAAUCUAUGAUUUCAGUUCAUUGGUUAACCAUAUUGGUUCCUCUUUUGAUCAUUAUUGAGACUUUUGACUCUAAUUGGCCUUUAAAUUUUAUGGAUAAAGACUAAAAUGUGCACACUUUUUUUACUUGAUUGAAUGAUGCUUCCAUGUGAUAUGCAGUUGUCAACUUCCAUUCUAUUUUUCCUCUAAAAAACAAUGAAAAGAGACAGAACGACCGACAGCCAUGACUGGGAAAAUUUAGGUCCUUUUUGUUACAAGAUAAAAAUGACAAAUCGUGGUGCUCUGGUCCUCAUUGAAACGGAAGUACUAUUUAAACGUGAAGCAAACCAUUGCAGAGUUCAUUGAUCGUUACUAUCCAAUAAGUAAAUAAUUUUGCCUCAUAAUUAUAUAUGUUCUCAUGAUGGACAGAAUUAUUGCCUAUUUCCCAUUUUCCCUAUUUUUUUCUCAAUUAUUGAGCUUCAAUUAUGAGAUUGUUCUGUACCAAAAUAGUGUUCUAAUUUCUCAAUCUUCCAAUAUUUUUGCAGAUUUUUUAAAGGACAUAUCGCUAUAGUCAAUAUCCUAUCCCACCCUCAUAACCAGAGACAGUAGGGACAAACAACUGAUUGACCACACUUUUGGAUCUUCCAUACAAUACAAAAUACAAGAACACCAGGGUAAACCACCAGCCACCAUAUAAACUCUUAAAGAUAAAAGAGCAAAUGCUUAUCUUCCGCUUUGUAAUCUUUCAUCUCAAGAUCAAUGCUCCAUUAACUGAAUCACUUCUUCCACUUGUAUUACUAAACUAUAGAUUUAUCAUUAACAUUCAUAUUAACAGAAAAGUUCAAACCUCAGAUACUUCGAGAAUCUAUACAUACACUUCAAAACAUUUAAAGCACCACUGAAAACAAGCAAACAUCAAUGUUUGAGCAAGUCAAUCUUGAUGGCAGAGACUUUAAUAUUCGAUUGACAGUGUUCUACAGUAGAUGAUAUCUCACCGGUUACAGUAAUCAGCUAUAUCGGAUCAGUUAUUUCCCAUGCAUUCACGUUUCCAUGUUUGGCCAAAGAAAUAUAUCCUAGUCCCUAGAGGGUUGUACAAAAAUGGUGACAACUGCGAAUAGUUUCUGGCAAAAUCAUAUAAGACAUCCUGUUGAAAAGCGACUUGCAGAUAAAUCAGACGAACAAACGGUAUGUUGAUCCAUGAUCGAAAUAUGUUAGAAAUGCAGAUUCAAUGGCAUCCCGAUAUACAAGCAAGUAAUAAGAGAAUCCAUUCACAAUUUAUUAACAAAAUGAAUAACAUCUGGUACGAUAUCCAUGCAAGGAACACAACAAGAAUGCACAGGAAGAGCAAUACGUGAAAUGCGCUCAACCAGGAAUAGAAGAAAAACACAGAAAGGCAUCCAUUUACUUGCUAGAUCAGGAGAAAUUGUUCGGAAAUUUUACAUUGGUACUACCAGUUCUCUUUGACAAUUUUCGACUUCUCAAGAAUGAAUUUCCCUUCCUUGUACUUCUGAGUUUCCUCAUAAGCCCGCUCGUAUUUCCAACCCAAUACCUCUCGACAAUCGCGACAGAAAAACAUCAGCCACUGUGUGAAGACCAGUCAUCAGUUGUCUAUCCUCCUUAGGACCCACCAUCACGUUCAUUGCGUGGGAGAAUAAAAAAGCUCGACCGUUUCUCCCCUGAAAUUCAGAUUGUUAACGAACCUUUUGGAACAUAUAUCUAUAGAAUGCUUUCAGCAAAACAAAUAUUAAUUGAACCUAAAGCAACAUAUAGUCGCAACAUUGAAAUGACAGAAAACACAGUUAAGCAAACAUUUAAAAGGUAAAUGAUAUCAUAAGCUUUUAUCAAUAAAUCCAGCAACAAUAGCAUCGAAAUCCCGACCUGAAAAGACUUGGAUAUAACAUCGUCGUGAAGGGCAACUUGGUUUCUGCAAUUGCAGCAACUGUACAACCUUGGCCCAACUAUUUCCGUCAUCGUGGCAAUAACUUAUCGAAACUCAACUUGUUGCUGCUCAUCACAAAUCAUAGGAAGAGAAUAAAAAAAUCAAUGUUCAAUCUAAAGCCAAUAAAUAUCACAAGAAAGAUAGCAAAAUUAAUCAAAAGCUUACCUUGAGUAUACCAAUAAACAAUAUAAUAUACACUGCCAAUCAACUUUUGUUUGAGAAAACAACUGCAUCAUAGCCAAAACAGAGUACUUGAAAUAUCAAACGAAGCAAUAUUCAGAAUCCAAUAAUGAAAACAAGUCAAGCUGACCAAAGAAAAGCUCAUAUACUCAAAGAACAAGUAAAAAACUGUUGAACCCUGUAAUUGGAAAGAGCUAAAAGAAGAGAAGAAGACCAUGAAAAGAUCAACUAAACAAAAUAAUGAAAACCCAGUAAUCCGAAGAAAGCUAAAUAAUUUGUAGACAAUGAGAUGAUGUAAUGCAAGCAGUGAAAGAAGAACAAAGAAAGGGAUCAAGAGAAAGGGUAAUUAAAAACCAAUAAUCAAAACAAGUUAAGCUCACCAAAGAAAAGCCCAGAUAUUCACAAGUAAAAAGAAGAUAAACCCUGUAAUUGAAAGAACUAAAAGAAGAGAAUUGCAUAAAAAAGAUCAACAAAAACAAAAAAUAAAAGAAAACCCAGUUAUCAGAAGAAAUGAAAAGAAAAUCCCGUUACUUUAAGACAACGAAUAGUGUAAUGCAAUCAGUGAAAAAAGCAAGAAACAAGGAGACAGGCGUUGGUAUUUCUUUUAUUAUUAUGUUUUUUUUUUUAAUUAUAAAGUGUUGGGUUCUCAAACCUGGAUAGAGUUCCAUGGUUUUGUGGAUUGAUGGUUGUCUCGGAACCAGAGAGUUGAGGGUUUUCCUGAGUUUGGUGGGUUUUUUUGCACUUUUCUCUGAAUAGAAGACGACAAAUAACAAUGGAGGUUUCGGUAAUUCGGUUCAUCAAUUGACAUGGGACUGUCCUAAAUUACUAAUCUGCCAUUUCCAUCUUCUUGUCUACCAAACACUUAACUAUAGUAAAUUUACAAUACCAAAGUCAUUAGGUCCUAAACUAAUAUUAUGUAGAAGAAAGAAGAAGAAAAAUUAUAUCUUACAUUUUAUUUUUAAUUUUUAAGCAUUUUAUCUCAUUCUAAGCAAAAAGUCAAUUUUUAAAUGUAAUUUUUUAUAAGAUAAUAUAGUAUUAAAAUAAAUAAAAUCGAAUUAAUUGAAAAUAUUCUAUGUUAAAAGUAGUUAUUUAUCUACUUAUCAUUUUCUAAAUUUUUUAUAGAAAAAAUUAUAUCGAAUUGUUUUUAUUUUGCAUUAUCAAACAUGUAUAAAAUUUUAAAUCAUUAAAAAUAUUAAUUUUUAAUUGAUUUAAUUUUGCUAACCAUUUAUCAAACAAAGACUAAAAUAUCUCUUUAUUGUCUAUGCUAAUAUUAAAUCCUUUGAUUGAGUUGUUUUGAUGAGUACUCGUUUGGAAAAAGAUUAAAAUACGUCUUUAUGUAAAAAACAAGUUAUCUAUACUAAUGUUAAGCCCUUGAUUAAAUUGGUAUUAGGGAGUACCAACUCAGUCGAGAAUAAAACUAAAAUAUCUCUUCAUAUACAAAAAUAAAUUAUACUCUUAUGAGAGUGUUUUUAUCUUUUUACAUUUUAUAAAUUAAUAAAAAUUCAAUUAUAGUAAAAUUUAAACUCAUGAUAUUAUACCUUUCAAACUUUUAAUUUUAUCAUUUUUUUUAAAUUGAAGUAUUAUUUAAUAUUUAUAUAAACUUUUAAUAAGUAUGUCGAAACCAUUUUUUUGAGAAAAAAAAUAAGUUAUCAACUUUAAAAACAAAAAUUGGAAUCGCCACCGAUCCUUGAUUGAGAUGUGAUCGGCUCACCUUGAAAACGAUUUUGGUCUACGAAAUUUGAGAAAACAUGUUCGGGAGUCAGUUACGCACGAGGAAUGGUUAGCACCCUAGUAACGCCCAAAAUCGAUACCAAAUUGAUUGUUUAAUGUCUUGGUGUCGAAAAAAAAUUUGAAAUUUUUUUUUUAAAAAAACUUUUUACCUUGAAUGAAUUUAAAAAUAAGACAUUCUAAUUUCAAAGAAAUAAAACGUCACACCCUGUAAGUUAGGGCGAACAUUUUCUAAUCUUCAAAAUUAGGCUUGUCUUUUAAUUUUUAAAACUCAUACAUUUAAACCUAAAAAGGAUAUUCAGUUAUUUAGGUCAAAUGAAUAAAAUCGAUACCCAGUAAGUUAGGGCACAAUUUCUCAAAAUUCCAAAUACCGAAUAUUACUGUACAAGCCCAAUUUUAACCCUUCCCAAACCCAAACAAAACAAGCCCAAACACCUAAAAUAUUUUCAGAAAAAAACCCUAGCUUUUGACCUAGGCGCCGUAGCCCUCUGCCCCUGGCUCUGCUGGCCGCCGCCUACGUCCCAUCGCCUCAGCCACUUGCCCCAUUCGUCCCAUCAAUUACCUGCAACAAGGAAGCAAACAGAGAAGCAGCAAAGGCAGAAGCAAAAUCGGCUAUAAGGAGGCCGAAUAUCAUGAGGAAUUGGGGGGGGACUUUUGUUUUUUUAAAAUCGGCAUACAAACCGAUUGAAACCUGGGUAUCGGGGGUUUUUUUCAUUUUUCUUUUCCUUUACUAUUUGUAACGUUUUUUCAGAAAUAAGAAACACAAAAAUCAAAGGUGAUUUCUGGCUCUUUUUGUUUUCAUUUUUACAUAUUCUAACCCCUUUUUAUUUUUUUUAUUUUUUAUUUUUUUGUUCAUUUAUUUAUAUACGUAUAAUAUAUAUAAAAAGGAAAAAGAAAAAAAUUACCUUUUUUAAGUUUCCGGCCACCGCGCACGGUGGCCGGCGCGACGGUGCAACUGCGACUCUCCUCGCCGGAUUCUGGGGCUAUGGACUGGAGGGGGAGAGGAUUUUUUUAAGAGAAUUUAUUUUAUUUUUUGAAAGAGCAGAAAAUGAAGAACAAAAAAAAACUUUGAUUUAUAAAGGCAUAUAAAACGGCGCCGUUUUAGGCCCAAGCUCCAGGCGCCAAAACGACGCCGUUUAGGAGCCAACCCAAUCCGCCCGACCCGCUCCAGGCUAGGAUCUGCGUGUUUUUUAGCGGAAGGGCUAAUUGCGCUUUCAGCCCUUCCGCUUUUAAAUGAUCCUGCAAUCAAGUUCUUUUGUUUUCUUUAAUUUUGCCCUAUAAUCUAUUUUGAUUUACAAUCUGGUCCACCCUGAAGCUGUGCGUUUUGGGGGGGCGGGAUUAUUUCCCAUUUGGUCCCUCCUUGUUAUUAGCACGUUCAUUGUGGUCCUUCCCCUUUAUUUCAUUUGCGAUUUGACCCCAAAUGUUAUUUUUUAACUCAAUCUAACCCUCUGUUUGUAUUUAGGUUAUUAUUAUUAUGAUUAUUAUUAUUAAUAUUAUUAUUAUCUAUGUCUUGUUAAUUUCAAAUUUUAUUAUUAUAUAUAUAUGCGCAUACAUACAUAUUUAUAAUAUAUACGUACAUAACCCUUUUUUUUAUUUAUAUAUAUAUAAAUACUUAUAUGUUAUAUAUAGUUUACACUUCAUAUAUAUAUACCUACUUAUUUUUUUAUGCUUUAUAAUUUAUAUAUAUACAUAGAUAUGCAUAUUUGUUUUUUUUAUAUAUGUAUAUACAUUCAUAUAAUUUAUAAUUUAUAAUUUAAAUAUAUAGAUACACAUACAUAAAUAUUUCAUCUUUUAUAAUUCGUAUUGAUAUCGUUGUUUUAUUUGAUAUUUAUUUAUUCAUUUUAUUUGAUAUUUAUUUAUUCAUUUAUUGAAGUGUUCAUUAUUUUUGUGAAAUGCUUUAGAUUUUUUAUUCAUUUAUUAUUUCAUGUAUCUUUGAUUCGUUUAUUAUGUAUUUUAUUUGUUGCUCAUUUUAGUUGUGCUUGCAUUAUUUUUACUUACAUUAUUAUCAUUGUUAUUCCAUGACGCUCAUUUUUAUUUAGAUUUCAAAAAAAAAAUUAAAAAUAUAAGUAAUAUUCGAUAUUUUAGAUCUUCGAGAUAAUCGAGUCCUAACAUAUUGAGUUUUAACUUUCUUCGUUGAAUUUAAAUAAUCGAGGUUACUCUUUUAAAAAAUGAUAAAAAGCUCGUCAUCAAGAAUUCAAUACGUUAUGUUCUAACGCAUUGGAUGUGACACGUUUUCUCAAGACGAGGAUUUUUCGAAAUAAAUGCAAUAUUCAAUGUUUAAUAUUUUGAGAAAUUGUGCCCUAACGUAUUGGGUUGCGAUUUCUUCAUUUGAUUUAAAUAAUUGAAUAUUUUUUUAAACUUUAUUACACGAAUCUUUUCAAACUCAAGUUUUAAAUGAUCUCGAAAAUAAAAAAGAUCGUGUCCUAACUUACUGGUCGUGAUCUCCCUGUUUUAAUUCGAGAUGGCUAAAAUAUCUUUUAAAUAAGCAUUUUUUACGUAUCGAGAAUUCGAGACAUUGUGUCCUAACGUACUGGAUAUGAUUCUCUUUCUUGGUUAACGUAAAAUAUGCUUAUUUUCUCAAAAAAUUCCAACAUUUUAAUAAGAAGAUCGUAUUUUUAAAUUUCCUUAAAGUUUUCAAUUUUUCGACACUAAGACAUUAAGUAAUCAAUUAGGUACCAAUUUUGGGCGUAUCGAGGGUGCUAAUCCUUCCUCGUGCGUAACCGACUCUCGAACCCGUUUUCUAAAUUUCGUGGGCCAAAACCGUUGUUUUAAUAAAAUAAAAUUAUUUAUUAAAAACAACAUUUUUCAAGGUGACCCAAUCACACCUCAAAAAGGAUUGGUAGCGACUCCCGUUUUCGUUUUCAUUUUUCAAAACCCAAGUCGACCAUGUUUUUUAUCCAAAAAAUGGUGUCAACAAUUACAAUUAUUUAUUUAUGUAAAAAUUCUUAUUUCGAGAUGACAAAAUGUCGUGACCAGUAAGUUAGGACUCAACAUUUUGAAUUCCCGAGAAUAAGAUUUUAUUUGAAAUAUGUACAAAUUUUUUGUAAAAUAAAUAUUUGGCCCUCUAAAUUCAUCGAAUAGAAUCGAAGGCCAGUAAGUUAGGACACGAUCCCUCUCGAAAAACGUAAAUGCUAAAUAUUUAAAAAUUUAAGAAAUAAAAUUAUUUUAAUGCUUUAAUAAAACGAACAUUUUUGAAAGACAAAUAUGCAAAUAUAUAUAUACAUAAAAAAUGUUUAAAUAUAUAUAAUGUAUAUAUUUAUAACAAUUUCUUUUUCUUUUUUUAAACGUAUACAUAUAUUACAGGAAAUGUAUGUAUAUAAAAUAUAAAAAAUGUAUAUAUAUUAUAAAAUGUAUAUGUAUAUAUAUAUCCAUGUAUACAAGAGUUAUGAAAAUAAAAUAAUAAUAAAAAAAUAUAUAUAUAAAAUAUGAACAUGUAUUUACAAAAGUUUAAAAUAUAUAUAUGCAUAUUAAAAAACAUGUGUGCAUAUAUGUAUAAUAAUAAUAAUAAUAAUAAUAAAUAAUGAUAAUUCAAUUGAAAUUAAAAUAUUUAAUAGCACUAAUAACAAAAAAGACUAAUUUAAACUUAAAACAUAAAUUCGGGGCAAAUUUGAAAUAAAUAAAAUACGAAUGGACCAAUUAGAACACGCAAUCAACAGUGGAGGACCCAAAGAGAAAUUUACCCAAACCUCCAAAACACUGCGCAGCAACAUGAACCGAAUUGAAACAAUAUUAAAAUGUGCAGUAAAAUUUAAAAGAAUUAAGAAAUUUAAUUAAAAAAACACUGUAAAAACAAAGGGAUCAAUUGCGCAAAUGGCCCCUUUUAAAGAAGUGCGCGGAUCUGGUCGGGUUUUGAAUCGGGUCACACGAGCUAUUGGGCAGACCUGGCUUAUACGGCGCCGUUUUGCUUUUGUUGUUUAAAAUAAAAAAUUUUCUAAAAAAAACAAUUCAUUUCCCCUAAAAAAAAAUAGAAAAUAGGGGGUGCCCUGCUAGGGUUUCGACCCUAGCCCCUUCACGCCGUCGCCGCCGCUGUGGAGCCACCGCGUUCAGCGCUCGAAACCAACGCUUGAAACCAGGUAAGCGCCCCUCCACUCUCCCCUUUCUCGUAUUUGUUUUAACAAAAAAAGAAGAAAAAUGAAAUCGAAAAAACAGUAAAAAGAAAAGGAAAAACGAAACCCAGUGGUCACCUUCAAAAAUUGUUUCCUUUGAUUCUCCCUUUCCCUUUUUUCAAUGACCUUUUUUGAUACAAUAUUCGUAACCCCCAAUCGGUUUUACAACCCCUUUUUUAUACCCCCAAAACAAUAAUAAAAAUCAUCCGUUGUGCUGUGGUUCGUGGUUUGAUUUUGCUGCAGGUGGGUACUGGAAGAGACAUGCGCGACGUGGAUAGUUACUGUGCGUUCGUGCGUGGAGAUAGUUGCUGCGACGUGGGGCAAUGGUGGCACCAGUCUGUUGCUUAGGGUUAGGCUAGGUUAGAUUUGAGUUAUUGGGCCAAAUGUAUUUGGGCUGUAUUGGGCCAAAUGUGAACUGUGUAAGCAGUUUUGGGCCCCGGGCAACAAUUGAGUAUUACAAAGUAUAUCUAUGAAAUGAUUUAUUUUUGAGUGUGCUAUAUAUAAAUAAUAUGAAAUAAAUAAUAAAAAGAGUAAAAGAACAAAAAAAAAAAAAUAGGAGAGCAAAAGAGAAGUACUAAAUAAGUUAAUUAAUUAUUCAAGUUUAUUAUAUUAAAGUAUUUUUUUAUUUUACUUUGAAAUUUUUUUCAAAUAUGUAUAAUUUUAAGUUUAUGUGCUCUAACAUAAAAUUAGUUAUAUUGUAACAAGAUCUUAAUUUGACACGUUUAAUUAUUUAAUUUAACUCAAAUAAUUUUAUUUCACUUGUCUCAAUUCAAAAAAAUUUUAAAUCAAAUUAGAAUAAUAAAAUAUGACUUAUCAACUCGAUUAACUCGAUUUUUUUUUUACUUAAAUCAAUUUCAUUAAAUCAUCUAAACAUAAUAUUUAGUUAUAGAGUAUAUCAAUUUAAUCCUAAUAUUAAAAAAUUCCAGUGGUAAACCGGUAAACAAGUGCCCAACAUCCUAAAAUCCCCGGCCCGACCG
rnacentral:lncRNA from 1 species